rnacentral:lncRNA from 1 species
AAAAAAAAAAAUUCUUUGUGCAAUUGUGAGAAAUUGCUUUGAUUUUUACUCAUUGAAAUGCGCUGAUGUUCAUAAUUUGGUAGGAUAGUAUAUUCUAUCUACAAGAUAAUUUAUUUUAUCUGAAAAAAAAAAGACUUGAAGGCCACAAAUAUAGUACUCAAGAUAAUUUAUUUAUAAAUAAUUUAUUUUAUUUAUAAAUGAAGUAAAUGAAGCGGGUAGUAUACUACCUAUCUCUCAAAAAAAAAAAGUUCUAGUAUAAUUAUAAGAAAUCACUUCCGUCUAUCAAAUGUACAGUAAUAGUUUUUUAAUCGUAUUUUUUUUUACUGUAGGUAAACGCAAUCUCCUGUAAUCCCAAACAUAAGUCAAAAGGUUGGGAGGCUGUGUUGGAUAUGGCCCACAUGAUUUAUUCAAGGCGAUCUAUAAAGAUACAGUCGGUCUAUUCAAGUCGAUUUAUAAAGAUACGGAAAAUCUAACGGUUAUGAUGUACUUGGACGCGUUCUUGAUAGACAAACGUGAUUUAACAUUCUUACAUCAAAUUAUAUAUAAAUAUGUAAUAUACAUGAGUCCCGGUCUAAUCUUAAUCUAAUUUUCUAUAACGGCUCCAUCUCCAAGGAUAAGAGAAUUAGACUCGAAACGUCCUGCUUUCUUGCAGAUAACGAAUGAGAUAAUCCGGGUAUUGAAAUCAAAAUUAUGACAGAAAAUACGAUCUUAGUUUCUAAUAAAGUUUCAACAUGUGGUAUCAGGGCCACAUCCAACAGCCUGGUGGUGCAGCGCAACUAUCCUUAGAAUAUUUGUCCCUAAUAAAAAGAUUCAUCUUCUACUGGUCAUGUGCUGCCAUUCAUGAAUUCCAUGGGGUAUGUAACAGUUUUUUACUCCACCUUCAAGCUUUUAUUAAAAGCGCUUCUGAGCAAAGUUGCACGCAUGCGCAUCAACAUGCAUGUGUGUAUAGAAUUAAAGCUGAUUGAAGAAGAAGAAGACGACGAGAAAUUAGGGAAAAAGAGGAAGCCCCAAACUGGGCCGGGGCAAACGCACUGUGCCAUAAAAGAUAAUAAUUAUAAAAGAAAAGAUCAAAGAAAAAGGAAAAGAAAAAGAAAAAGAAAAAGCUGUGUGAUCAGCAGUACUAUCUCUAUAAUUAAAAGGCUUAUAUUAAAGUACUACUGGGAGAUUCUCCAGGUUUUGUAUAUGUUAUGAGCCUAAGAAGUUUCACAGAUAUGUACCACUGUCGCGAUGACUGAUGAGAAAUAAGUGCGCGGCGCUCAGUUUACAAGAGUAGGGCUAGUGCCGCGACUCAAACCCCUCGGUUCGAGCCGAGACCGUCGCGCGCCUCCAUGAGAAUCAAAUUUAAUUUUAGUUUCAAAUUUAUGGUCUCAGAUUGCAUGGUGAUGACCAGCUUGAUGACCGUUAUUUUGAAUUACCAUCUUAGAAUUGAGAAUUAGGUCCUCAGAUAUGCGUUUGAAACGUAAGGCUCGAGUUAUCGGCUUCUCGAGCAUUAGAUUAAGACAGUCGGGGUUGGGAGUUUUCACGGUAGGAGCCUGCACGCAAGACUCAGACAAGAUUCUGGAAAAGAAGAAGAAGAAAAUUAAGAUCCACAUGUAAUGACUACAGAAUAGGUGGAUUAUACCGACCGUCUCUAGAGCAAGUGGCAAAGGGCUUGGUGGUUGAUACCCGAGACCCAAGUUCGAAUCAUAAUUGAUUCACAUUUCCAGUUAAGUUUAUUUCUAAAUGAAAUAAACGAAACGGGCAGCAUGCUACCUAUCUCUAAAAAAAAAGAAUAGGUGGAUUAUAGUAAAAUACAUCGUAAAGUGAAUGACUCAGUAGGAUCGGAACUCAUAAUUUUGUGAUUUAUGUAAAUUUUUUAAUAAUAUAGUUUUUUUUAUCCUAAUUUUAUUUUAUUUAUUUUUAGGACUAGGCAUACCAUUAUUGAGUAUGUCAAUCAAUUAAAUCAGAAUCUGAUUUUAACUAUCUCAAGCACUAGAAAGAGGAGAAAGAGAGAGCCUGACUUAUGAUAAAAUUUUAGUGGAGAGCUCCCCAACAAGGCAUUGUUGGGAAGCCUUCGAUCUACUGCUAUGUGUUAGUGUUACCUCUACUUAAAGACUGUAUUGAGUGUUUUUAAUACUAAAAUUCUAAAAAGAAUAUUUAAAAUCCUUGGAUAGAAGCAAAUUGACAUAUAACAACGAAUCAGGGCUCGGUUCGGAGACCCUAGCUGCUUCCAAAUUGACACAUAACAACGAAUCAGGGCUCGGUCCUUUGAUAUUCUCCCGUGCUCUGCCUUUUGUUUCCCCUUUGUUUAUUUUAUUUUGUUUUCCCUUGUUUGUUUGGUCACACGGACGUGGUUUUUUUUCUCGUUUUCUCUUAUUCCAUCGGCUCGGUUCAGAGGCUCUAGCUGCUUCCAAUUUGUAAGUUAAAUUUAUUUUGCUUAAUGAAUGAAGCAGGUAGCUUGCUACCUAUUUCUCAAAAAAAAAAAAACAAAAACAAAAAAAAAACAACGAAUCAGGGCUCCUCACUAAAGCAUUAUUCGGAAGCUCCAACUGAAGUUCUUACUCGCAUGAAUGUCACAAUAGCUCUUCAAUUGCAUAAAUAGUAUAGUUUUAAGUAUAUAUAAUGAUAUAACUAUGCAUAAGUAUUUAAAAUUUGAUAAGAGAUAAAACACAAAGCAACAAAAUUACUUCUCCAAAAAUUUGGUCAGAUAAUCCAUCCUGCUUUUAAUUUCCCCAGGCUUUAAGCAAAGAAAAGGCAGUAACAACUGACUUUGCUGUCUUCCCUUUUCUCUUUUUUUUGUUUUUUUCCCUCUGUCCUGACCAGAACUGCUUUCCUCUUCUUAUCUUGAUUUCAUGACUCCCACUUCUUUUGUACCUUUUGUCAUUUACUCCCCACCCAUAUUUUGUGAGCAACACUCUCUCUGCAUCCUAAACUUGGUAUAAAUUUUACAUUCUUAUUCAUUCAAGCCCGUUUGGAUUGGAUACAAGUUAUUCUCACCCUUAGCAGGUUGUCUUGGGAUAACCCCUGUGCGAAUGGCUUGUUCUCACCCCCUAUUCGACCUAAGGGUAGGAACAAGUUGUUUCUAUCCCUAUUUUUUUUUAAAAAAAAAAUUUAAAAUUUAAAAUUUAAAUUUUAAAAAAUUUAUAAUUUAUAAUUUUAAAAUUAAAGUUUAUAAUUUUAAAUUCUAAAUUUUAAGUUUUAAAUUUAUUGAUAUUUUAUAUUUGUUAAAUUUAAAAUUUAAAAUUUUAUUUUUUAAAAUUUAAAUUUGUUCUUAAUUUUAAAUUUUAAAAUUUAAAAAUUUGAGAGUUUAAUUUUAAAUUUUAAAUUUUUAUUUUGAAAUUUAGAAGUUAAAUUUUAAAUUUAGAAAUAAAAAUUUAAAAUUUUAAAUUUAAAAAUUUAAAUUCAAAUAUAACGAAAGGGAUAAUAUCAUUUUUCUAUUUAUAACUACUCACUAUCUUUCUUAUUCCAUCAUAUCUACCCAAACAAAAUUGGUCUUGAUUAUAUCUAAGUAGUUCUUACUUAUAUUUCUGAAAUAAGUAGUUCUUACUUAUAUCCGAACCAAACGAAGCCUCAAAAACUCACGGCCCUCUAACAGUCUCGUCAACUUUUUUUUCUUAAUAUAAACCCAAAAGAAUUUUACGAACUCUUGAAUGAUAUAGGUUGUAAAAUUAAUUUAUAUACCCUAUUAGUUGGGUAUUUUGAUCAAUAGUAACUGUACACCGACUUUGGAGGCGUAAAUCUAACGCCAUAAACUCUAAUAAAAGGCCAAAAUUUACUCACCAUCUUCUUAAUUUUGUUUCUUAAUGCUAAAAAACUAGAAUAAGUUUUUAAAAAUCCUUCGGUAUAAGAUGUAUACUCUACCGUAAGAUGUUCAGAUAGAAUGUUAAAUAUAUGCGUACUUACGCAUUAGAUGCAGAUAAUAAUUUCUCUUGUAGAAGAGAAGAAUAUUCAUAUGUUUUAAAUUUUUAACCUAAAUUUUACCCCCUUAUUUAUCUUUUGGCUUAGGGGCUGUAGAACAUGGUAUGAUCACAUUGUUUAAUUUAUAUUCCAUCACUCUGUGUGAGGCUACAAUGUGGAGGAAAAAGGCAGUGGUUGCUGAGACCCUGAAUUUGUUAUUCACAAAAAGUUUCCCUUUUUUGAGUUGUUGGCUCUUUAAUGGUUGUUUAAUCUCUGUGAGUGCUUUUUUUAAAAAAUAUAAAAUUAUUUGAAUUAUUGACCAUCUUGAUUCGAUUAUUCAAUUUGUCAAAAUUUGAAUUUUAGUACCCAGCAUAAUAAUUUGAUGGUUUUUUCGAAUACAAAAUGUAAGUUGGUUUCUCAUUUUAAGAAAUUAAUAGUUACGUAAAUUACAUAAAAAAUGAUAACUAAAACAGCAAAAAUAAAUAAUACGUUCAAAUAUUGAAGUUAAAAAGUUACUAAUUAAUUCAAAUCAAAUAAAUUAAAAGAUCAAAUAGUAAAAUCAAGAUUUUUAAAAGCUAGACAGCCAAACCUAAAUGGAUGAUAGUUGAAAAAAGUUUUAUAUAUUUUUACCAGUGUUUCUGUAGAGAGAAUGUUUAAACAUUUUAACCUUGAGAGCGAAUGUUUGAACGAUUUUUGAACACCCAACAUAUCAUGUAUUCAAUAUUUGAUAACUAAUGUUUUGAGAUAAAAUUAUAAUUUUACAAAUUCAAAGUGAAUUCGACUUUGAAAACACUCUGAUGUGAUCGAUUUUUCAUAAGGAUAUUACAUAGGCGUUGGAUAGCUCUACUAUGAUAAUAAAUUUACAAAGCCACAAAAAUUUUAAAUGGAUCCGCUAAAUAAUGUAAUAUCUUCUUAACUAUUUAUAGAUAAAAAGUAACAAUUGUAAAAAAAAUUUCUAUCUAGGAUUCAAGUAGUUCUAAAAAUCGACAGCAUAGAACAAAAAAAAAGUAAAAAAAUUGCUCGAGUUAAAACAAACUGAAUAUUUAACACGCUCUUUUUUUACUGUCGUAAAACACAUCUGAUGAACUAAAUUAUGAUUUUAAACCUCUGCAAUAAGGUUCAGAGUUUGGUGCAUGGUACACUUGGUGCAUGCAAUAAUUUCUCCCAUUUAGCUUAGUGUUAAAGGAUAACCAAAUAAAAAAACCAUUAAAUGUUCUUAAAGGCGCUAACUAAUCUUAUCCAUUGUGUCUCCCAUUAGAUUAAGGGAGUAAUUAUAUAUAUUAAUUAGUUGAUAACUAAAAAUAAACAAUAGAGAAAUACUUUUAUGUCUCUUAUAAUAUUAUUUUUAUGGGAUAAUUGUCUAUAUAUUUUUCAAAAUUUUGAAAAUAUCUCAUUUAACUCUAUUUUUUUUUUUCUUUCUAAUAUACUCCUUAUAUGCUCCUCUGUUAUUCCAAAAUAUCUCUACAGUAACCAUAUGUUAAGUUAACUUGGGCUAAACGUAAGUUAAAUAUCUACCAUAGUUAAAAAAAUUAAAAUACCACUUUUGCCCUUAACUUAAGGACAAAUAAGAAAUAUUGGUGAUGAUAGAAAGGUAUAUUUGAAAAGACCAAAAAGCAAAAUAUUUUUUGUGCCCCUAACUUAAGGGCAUAUAAGAAAAAUCGGUAAUGGUAAAAAGGUAUAUUUGAAAGGACAAAAUAGUAAUUUCAUAGAAAUAACAGAGUUCAUUAACAGAUUUUAAAUCUAAGGGUAUAAUUGAAAUAUGUUUUUUUUUUUUGAGAGAGAUAGGUAGCACACUACCCACUUCGUUUAAUUUAUUUAGAAAUAAACUUAGCUGGAAAAUGUGAACCAACUAGGAUUCGAACUUGGGUUUCGGGUACCAACCACCAAGUCCUUUGCCACUUGCUCUAGGAUAUUUUCAAUAUUAGCCUUCUAAGAGAGGUAAAUUAGAAAGUCGGAAACUUUUCAGAAAUAUAUAAACAAUUGCCCCUAUUUUUAUAUAUUGUAUAUUAUUAAUAUGCAUGUUAACACAUAUGAUCUGAAGUAUUUUAAUUAGUAUACGACCGUAUUCUUAUCUGUCAUAUAAAUUUAUCAACAUAUUAACGAUGUAUAAAAAUAAUAUUAUAAAAGUAUAUAGUAUUAAUACUCUAAUUAAUAAUAGCGAGAACAUAUAUUCCUUCUAUUACUAUUUUUUAUAUACUACUUAUAUGUCAAUGUAUGUUAUACGAAAACGCUAUAUCUAUUUAGUAAUACAUUAAUAAUGUUAAGAGUUUUAUUUUAAGAAUGCAAAUUAUUUUUCAGUGGAUUAUGUAUAUGUCUCCCUUUUAUGCGUUAUUUUAGGAAGCAAAAAGCAUGCAUUAAUUAACACACCUAAUUAUUACCUUAAUUAGCACGCAUGGUUGUACCCAAAGUAGUUAUUAUAUUAUUAAUUUAUAAUAGUAGAUUAUAAUGUUAAUCAAGGGCUCUAGGGAAUAGCAAAUGGAAAUUGCAUGCGAGCUUAAGCCUUGGGGAAAAGGAGAUGCUCACUUUUUGUCAUUACAUGGAAGAGUACUUUUUUGACCACUUUUAGCAUCCCUUGUUACUACAAUUAAAUAAAUAGAAAACAAAAAAAAAAAUUAUAAAUAAAAAAUGAUAAUGUAUUAACAAAGCUAAUUUUAAUAUUAAUAAAAAUUAUUAUUUAAUUAACUAAAUUUAAUCAGAUUUAUUAAAUUUAAUGUGAUACUAAUAAAAAAUAGAUCUGCUUUUGCCGCUAAAUUUUUGUGCCUAAAAGCAAAAUUGAGAUUGCGAACCUAAAAUUUAGAUGAUUUACUUCUCUAAUAAAAUCUUACAGGUAAUUAAUGUUUCACAAGGAAUUUAUCUCGAGUAACUCUAUUGAGUCAUAGUGUUUUAGAGAUCUAACAAAAGACAAUAUUAUUAUUUUUUUAGUUAAAAAUAGUUUAAAAUGCUAUUUAUCUAUAUAUUAUACAGGAUGGUAAUGUUUAAUUAGUUAGUUGUAUUUCUAUAAAAUAAUGUUGAUUAGCAUAAGGCUUGUCCACAAUAUGCUCCUAUAAUUGAUACACUAAUAAAUGUGGGGAAGAUAAAGCUAGAAUUAGCAAUAACACAUUUCAAAAAAGUAAAAUACUUAUCCGUUCUAAGUUCAAAGUCUAAUUACUUCACGUUUUCAGUUAAAUUUAUUUUUCAAAAAAUAACGAAAUAAAUAACAUGCUGCCUUUCUCUUUCAAAAAAAAUUAAAUAAAUUAAAUUAAAUAAUUUAAAGUUAUAUAUAAAUAUAUAUAUCAAUAAUCUAUAAAAAUGCACUCUUCUAACAAGAACAAUCAUGAAAAAUCUACAAAAAUGCACUGUUCUAACAAGAACAAUCAUGAAAAAAAAAAAAAAUGGUGACUAAGACCCAGAAAAAAUAAAAAUAGGGAGAAGCUCCAACAACCAUUUUUCAUACAUUAAUAAAAUAGGAAGCACAAUAAAUAAAGCGGGUUACAUGCUAUCUUUUUCUUUAAAAAAAAUAAAUAAAUAAUAAAGUGGAAAGCACGUCGAUGCGAACGCCGAUUUGUGGUACAUCAAAAUUUUCUGCCCAUGAACCUGUACAAAAAUAGUACGCAUAUGCUAAUUAUUGCACAAAUUGACAUUAUGAGCACAGCUAGCUGUGCAACUCGCUCGUAUCCGGCUCGAAAUGAGCUUUAAAUGGAUUAUUUGUUUAAUAAAUGAGCCGAACACGAGUUGAGAUCAGUUUGUUUAUAUAAAAAAAUUUAGGCCAAUUCAAAUAUAAAGAGAUUUAUAUUUCACAAAUUUUAAUUAUUAGAUUAAAAUUUUAAUUUUUUUUUUCAAUUUUUUACUCGAUAGCAAGACUACCGAUCUAACUUACUGUCCGUGAGCUAACUCAUGUUUGACUCGUUAAUAAACAAGUCAAAUACGAACUGAAUAUUGCAUUCGUGAGUUAACUCAUGUUUGACUCGUUAAUAAACAAGUUGAAUACGAACUGAGUAUUGCAGUUCAAAAUUCUAACGAGCCAACUUAUGUUUGGCUCGAGCGAACAUGAGCCGGCCUAGCUCGCUCGUGUUUGGCUCGUUGACGGCCGUAACUAUGAGAUGCAUAGAUGGUAGAGUACCCACAAUUUUGCUUGGAUUGAAGUUACAAACAAACACAUGGUAAAGGUAAAGAUUAAAACUACUAAAAUAUCUCUAAAAUUGUGUACAUGCAUGGAAUUGUAUAUCCAUACAACAUGUUCCCUCUUUCCUAGUACGUUGGUAGUUAGAUAUAUUUUCAAAAAAAGACACAAAUCCUGCCAUUCUAACGGCUAACUAACUGCCCAGUGGCCCUCUCCAUAUUUACAUAUCACCCACUCACAAAAGAUGUAAAUCACAAUCACACCCUUCAAACUCCGGCAAUUCUCACGGAGCUCGGCAACAGAUCUCCUCCGUCGUCUAUCCGCCUCCGCCCACACCCGCGCCCUUUCACCGACGAUAACCGUACGGUGGAUCCGUCUUCAAGUUUUAAGUUGUUCUUCAACUUUUGUAUGGCGGGAACUAACACUCUGUCUGACCAUUCGUCGAACAUGUCGGUCGUAGCGCCUCCGGUCAGCCAAAUUGUGCCUACUAACGGAUCGAGCGCGUCCGUGUCGACCUGUAGAGAGCACGCAUUUCCCACGAUCGCUGUGAACUUCGCGGUUAUUGUAUCGGAGAUUCUCCGCCUGAGCGGACCGAAGUCGACCGGUUUGAACACGACGGCGUCGUCCACCAUAUCGAUGAAAUCAGCAGCGUUCGACGACGUCGAGCAGUUAUUGAUGGCGAGCCGCCCGUACUCAUGCUCGUGGUCCACCGUGAGAUCGCUCGAGCUUCGCGAGCCCUCUCUGCCACCGCCGUCGUCGUCAGCAUUCACGCCGAUCGCCAAAUUCAAAUCGAGCGAGAUGCCUUCCGAUCCCUUCCGCGGCUUCACGAUUCGAUCGCCCUCCUCCGGUAACCACUCGGGCCGGCGUUUUCCGGUUCUUGUCUCUUCGAUGAGAGACAACUCUAAGUGCCAUGACGAAUGCGCCGAUUCUAGUAUUUUUUCCUCAACGCCCGAGCCCUUGAGAUCCCCCGACGAGCAAUUCGACAUGAGCACGAAGACGGCGCUCCCCAACCCUACCUCCCUGCUGUGGGAGUCCGCGAGUCGGCCCGUUUCGAUCGCCCGUUUGAUGACCCCCUUUGCUGCAGCAUCAGCAUGAUCGACGUCCUCGAGCACAACCACGCAGAAGGGGUUUCGCCGGAGCGCAUCGGCGACGCGAUCGAUCGGCAUCUUACCACGUAGAUUUACGUCAGAUUCGCCGUCUCUGUCGUCAGUUCUCGCAUAACCGAUACGAAUACUUAUAGGCGGCCCACCAAACACUAGCUCCGACAAAGCACACGCCAUCCUGCUCUUGCCGACCUCGUCGGGCCCCAUGAAUAGAAGCCACGUAUCGGCUUUCGGCCGUAGGCCGCGGGGUUUACAGUUCCCCGACAUGGUUCGGAUCACCGCGGCAGCUACGGCCGAGGCCGACUCCCUCUGCCACUCGACCUUCGCUGCCAGUCCCUUAUACAGCCUCUUUAGAGAAUCGCUUUCCGGCGAAAGGCCUCCGCAUCUCUCAAACACGCCGUCCGUCUCCGACGGACCGAGAACAAGAUCGGUCUUAACCGAGCUCAAGGACGUGCGCGCGAAACGGUGGAGGCGUUCGCACGUCUCGCGCCACCGGUCUCGCAGCUCCUCGCUCUUCUGCUUCCGCCUAAGCUCCCGAUCUCCACUCUGUGGAACUCAAAAGCCUGCAUCAGAAGCGAAUUCUCGAAUACGAAGUGAUUAAUGAUGAGCGAAGAAGAGCAGAAACGAACCUGGAGAUGAUCAGCGGGAGACGGAACUGCGACGUGCAACCAUUUGGGCACGUGUUCGGGAUCGGAUUGCUCUGCGAAAAGUUUGGAAAAAAAAAAAAAAAAAAAAAAAAAAACAAAGUUAUGAAAUAAAAAAGAAAAUGAUAAUUCAUUAGUAGUGAUAAUGAAAUAUAUAUAUAUAUAUAUAUAUAUAUAUAUAAUACAAAAUAGAGACCUGUGGUUGUGGAGAGUAGGGGGAGGCGGGGCGAUGGGAAGGGCUUGGAGGUCCCAAUCGGCCUCCAUCGUCGGAUGGUACACCUGGCACCGCAGAUACGUGGCGCACGUGGCGGUCCCCAGGAGCCACACGUGUCCGCCGCCGCCGCCGCGGAGCCGCCGCAGCACCGCCGCCACCUCCGCCACGGCGGCGCUAGCCGCCGGGAGCCAUGUGGCAGCGACGAGCCACGUCAGAUCCCGGAGGUCAACCACCAGAAAAAAUUCAUAGAAUGUACGCGUGUAUUAUUAGUGAAGUGGAGUAAAAAGUCAAUCAAUUAUCUUUAAAAAGUAAUACUGUUAAUCCAUCAUGAUUGUAAAAAAGUAUUUUUAUUGUACUUUUGUUGAAAGAAUGGAUUUGAUUGACUUGUAUUGAUGACGUAGGUGCAAGGGGUUGACAUGUAGGAAUCUCCACCCACCCUCCGUUGCUCUCUGUCCCCUCCUCCUCGUCCUCCUCUUCGCGCCUCCGCGCACUCGGAUUAGCGCGACAAGGUGGCGAGCCCAGGUGAGGUCCGGCGGCGGGGCGAGGGGAGGGGAGAGGGGGAGGGAGGGGGACGAACGCUUGGAGCGAAGGUGCGAGAUGGAGAGGAGGCCUCUUGGCGACGGGGCCGGUGCGAUAGCCGACGAAGUCGAUGGGGUUGCGGUUUCGGGAGGGCUUGGGCAGGACUGCAGGACAUGGCGGAACACCAAGGUCCGUCGGGGGAAGGGGGAGGUGAAGGGGGACUGGGACGCGAGGAGUGGAGGGGCAUGUGAGAGAGGGAGGGAUGGCUGAUGGCCGCCGGGGAGAGAAGAGCUGAUGACGCGGCUCAGGAGGGUCGUCGAGACGGCGAGGGCGAGGUGCCAGCUCGACGGCGUGGUGGGCGUGCGCGUGGCGCGCUUGACGCGGCGGCGAGGCGUUGUGGAGAGGGGGUUGGGGUUUGGGUUAGGUUAGGCGUAUCAGGGUUGGUGGAGGGGAGGGAUAGCGAUCGAUGGCGCGGAGAGCAGAGGUCGAGGCGCGGCAAUGAGGUGGUGGAGGGAAUGGUGAUGGGAGAGGGAGAGGGAGCAGGACGGCGGCGGAGAGGUCGGAGGGUUAGGGAGAGGAGAGGGCGCGGCGACGUGGAGGGGGUCGUGUGUCGAGUGCCGCACAGCGAGCUCGCUCCGGACGCCGACGCGCACCGCCCGCGCUCCGGGCACUCAGGAAUGCGGGAAGCCGCGACGCACUCGCGCCGCGAUUUGAAGUUUUAUUAGUUUUAUGUCUACAAAAACAUAUUUUAUCUCUCUGCUUGACGUACACAUUGUAUGGGUUUAUAUGCGUUCAUCUCUUUAUAUUAUAUUAUUAUUAUAUAUAUAUAUAUAUAUAUAUAUAUAUAUAUAUAUACAGUUCAGUGUCUCUCCCUCACUCUUCUUCCAAAUUCAUACUCUACAUUUCGGCAGUAAAAAGUGAAAUAUUAUGAAGUAGAGCUACUAUGCUAUCGAAAAAAUAGAAGGUUAUGAUACUUUCGACUUUUUAAUCCUUAAAUCAAUCUUUUUGAUUAUUUCUAAUUUUUAGAUUAAUAUUAUUAUCCUGUAAAAAUUACUCAACUCUAGAAGAGAUCGCAAUCAUUCCAACCGUACAAUUCUUAAUCUAAGGGUCAAAAAGUCGGUAGCAUCAAAUUCUCUAUUUUUUAUAGCAUAGUAGCUCUACACAAUAUUAUGUUAUUUUUAUUUUCUACAUUAUUCUAUUUUUUUUCAAAAGUAUUAUUAAAUUACUUUUUUUAAAAAAAAAUCAAUCUUUACUGUAUAUAUCCAACAAAUUGCAAUAACUAGUUGGAAGAAUCUCAAUAAAAAAAAAUAAAAUAAAAUAAAAAAAAUUGAGAAAGUUGUCGAAGAAUGGUCCAUGGUUGAGGGUUCUCUAUACACUUUUACCCUACAGAACAUUUUUUAAGCAUCAUUGACUAAACCGGCCGUCUCUAUAGCAAGUGGCUAAGAAUUUAGUGAUUGGUACCCGAAAUUCCAAGUUCGAAUCUUAAUUGAUUUAUAUUUCCAGUUAAGUUUAUUUCUAAAUAAAAUAAACAAAGCGGAUAACGUGCUAUCUAUCUCUCUAAAAAAAAGAAAAAAAGAAAAAAAAAAAAGCAUCAUCAGCUAAAGUUAACGCCCACAAGCCUUUUGGGACGCUUAUUAAUCUAUUCGUCUGAUCAAUUUUUACUUCAUUUUUAUUGAAACAUAAAGAAACUUAUCAAUACUUGAAUUCUUGGGUGUAUAAAUGUAUUAGAGCGUAAAGAGAGUAAGAGGAGACAAGGGCAAGUAAAAUGCAUGAGAGCUUGAAGCCUUGAUGAAUGAUGAACAUCACAUACAUGAUCAUGGGAACUGAGAAAAUGCCAAGCAUUAAAGAUCAUACAAUAAAAAAGGUUGCAGAAAAAGGAUUCAUGGGCCCAUGCAUGAUUUUAGGGUAGAGGUGGUGCACUUUCAAUUUAUCCAUCCACCCAUGAAUUCAAAAAGCUAAUAAAAGGGCAUUCACAAGAGAACAAGUCAUUGUUAAGAAAAAGUUCCUUUUGGACCUCCCUUUACAAAAAGUAGUUGUUGUAGCUGUUGCUAUGAAAGGGUGUGUGUGAGAAAGUUAAAUUCCAUGAGAAAACUCUUUCCUUUCUCCUUGUCCAUCUCUACCAAACCCUAUCUACACCAUCUUUAGUUUAAUUAUUCCUCUCUCUUUUUCUUUUCUUUUUUUUCCAAACCCUAAAAGCCAUGAGUGACCUCACCAUUCCAACUCCCACCACCUUUUAGAGAUACAUACUUUGGAGAGGACCACAUCCCUCUCUCAUUAUCACCCUUCUUGUUGAAGCCUUGAAAUAAAUUGGCACCCACAUGGUACUGAUUAAAUGAAUCAAGUAAUGGAAACAUGACCAUGAUCAUGUGCAUUUGCUGCUAAUUAGUAAUAUGAAUAGUGGUGUAAGCAUUUCAGAAAAGAUUUUUCCUUCUUGUAGGACUUUACAGCAUUGUCAAUGUAGAACUGAAGUGUCUAAAUGAUCGUAUUGUACGCAUCGGCUCUACAUGGGGCCAUGUCAUGCAUAUUUGAUUUCAAAUUUCACUAUUUUCGUAAUCAUAUGAAAAUAAAAAUGCAAUCACUCGAAAAAAAUAUCUGGGCUCGAAAUUUUUUGAUAAGAGAAAUUGGACUGAAUUUAAAUAGGAGAAAAUGAAUAAAACUAGGGGACCAAUGAAACUCAAACUCAAGGCUGCUACACUAUAAGGGAUCGUUUGGUUAGAUGUAAUUACAAAUACAGUGUAGUUAGAAAUACACGUAGUUAGAAAUACAGCAGUUACAGCUAUAUGAAUCCUAUUUGGUUGAAUGUAGUAGAAAGCGUUACAAGUAUAAAUAAUUUGUUUGGUUGCAUGCAGUUGAGAGAUAAUUUUUAAAAUUUUAUCAUUUUAUAUAUAUGAUGGUGAAAUUACCUCUAAUGUAAAGAAGAAAAAUAAUUUUUGUUUAAAAAAUAUUGAGAAGGUAAGCAUAUCUUUUAUUUAAAGUUACUUUCUCCAACUGCUGUAGUUAGAACUGCGGCCAAUUUGGGCGUAGUUCGAACUGCUGUAGUUGAGCCUCCUCCUGCAGUUCCUACUACAGCAGUUAGAGUUAAAUACAUUAAACCAAAUACGAAAUUUGUAUUUACAUGCAGUUGCAACUGCAGUGCAGUUGCAACUGCAGUGCAACCAAACGGCCCCUAAGACUCUUAAAGACCAAAUUUUAAAUAUUUUGAAUUCAACAUAACUCAACAGGACCAAUAGGUUCAUGAUGGGAAAUGGUGUGGCAUGUUCAUGAAGAUUUAAGCAGCAUAAAAGAGCCCCCCAAUGAGGAAAAGUGGGAGAGGCUUUGAAUAGGCCUUAUUAAGAUAAAAAAGAAAAGAAAGAAAAAGGUUACUUUUAGAAUGAGAGUGAUUAUGCUUUGGAAGCAUCUAUCAAGAAAGAGUGAGACCAUUCAUCUUUUUGAGGAGAAAAAGUUUGCAUUAUCAGAGAAAGUUGUGAUAAAAAGUGCUUGUCUAGCCCAACUAGCUAAUGAGAAGUGGGAUACACUUAAAAAAGAAAAGGAAGAACCAAAAAAAAAAAAAAAGAAUAAAGAAAAAGCUGUUCCUUUGCAUAAAGGAUGAUGCUCCCUCUCUUUUAGCUUUGUUUCUUAGGAUUCCUUAAAACCUACCAACAAAAGGAAAAGACCUAACACUUGCACAAAAGAGAACUGAUUCCAGAUGUUAUAAAAAAGCUUCCUUUUCAGACUUAAGUUAGACUAGUAGGAAUAAAUUGAAUAGUUGUAUAGGCUUUGCUAACAUGCUUUAUGCUUUAUGAAUCAAUGACCCCACAAUUAUUCCUAUGGUUUACUUACUCUGACAUUAAGGUUUAAGGUAUAAAUUUAGCAUUUUAUGACAAUUUCCAGAAACUUUGAUUUGAAAUUGGAAACUUCACUUGAGGUAAAAUGUCCUUUUGUGUCAUAUAAAAUAUUUGUAAUUUUUCAAUGAAAGGUUAAGAAAUUACAGUACAUGACUAACUUGCAAGGAAUCAAUCAAAUGUACAAAUCAAUCUCCAAUCUAGGUCUAAAUCUUAAGGUGACUGGGCAUUUCAUUUUGGAAAAGAAAAAUAAAAUGAUAUGGCUGCAAUAAGUAAAAUAAUUAACAGUAAUUAAUCAAAUAAUUAGGAUAUGAAAUGCCUAUCAUCAUAAAUUCAUCCUCUGCUACUAAUCUGCUACAUUAUUUGCAUGUAAAUAAACUCAUAUACAGAAUCAAAAAUAAGAGUCCAGGUAAUAGAUAUAUACUUUUUUUUUAGGGAAGGUAGCAUGCUACCGCUUCAUUCAUAAAGAAGGUGAAUUUAGCAUUGGAGAGAAGCAACUAGGCUUCAGGAAAAAAAAAAAAAAAACACUACUACUACUAAACACAGUGGUUCUCCCACAAACAAAGAAGGGAGCGAAGAUCUAUCAACAUCUGUCUCAUCGAGAGCCAGAUUCAAAAUAGAUACAAAUAAAUAUGUCAAGUAUAAUAGAUAUAUACUAAUAGAUUCAAAAUGGAUACAAAUAAAUAUGUCACAUCCUUGAGCCAACGCAAGCUUCUACCGGACAAAAUCAAAUUGCUAUCAAUGGCUUUUUAAGCAGUGUGCUACUCAAAAAGGGAGAAGCUAUUGCCUGGAUCUGGCCCAUUGUGACCACAAUUUUAGAGCCCUUAAAAUCAAUCAUAAAGGCCUUAAAAAGUUGAACCAGGUCCAGGCACCAAAGGCUUUAUUAAUUACUUUUCACUUUUCUUCUUUCAAAUUAAUAGGCAAGAACCAGCUAUAUGUAAACCUAAGCAUAUGCCGGCCUGGAUCCGGUUGGGUAAGGAACAGUUAACCCAAUAAAAAGCCAAACGCGGUCCGGCCCGGAUUAUGCUUUGAACUACACAAGGUUGAUUAUUUUUUUCUUUUUUUCUUUUUUUUUCCUCUUUUGCUAAUUGCUACACAUUAUGAAAGGCCAAUGGAUGCAUGCAGAUGCCAUUAUUUUAUCUAAGCCAAGCAUUGCUUACAACUUAUUCAGUUAAACAUUUCCAUACGAAAUGGUUAAAUAAAAAGUAAGAAUUGUCUACAAACAAUUCAAGAUAAUUAUGAAGGAAUGCGGACCUUAUUCCAAACUCGCAGUUUCAGAGAGCUAGCAUUUCAAUAAUUGCUUAUGAUACGGGAUAUUGAAGAGUAGGUUCCCAUGGCCCCGCUGACGAUGCCCAGUGCAGCAAUUAUGAUGCUCAAGGUGAUCUGGAACGCAUCGAAAAGAUGAUUAUUAGCAGCAUGGUUCCAAAUAAUCGCAUUAUUUCAUACUGCAUAAUCUUAUUACGAACAGAAAUGUAAAACUCUAGUUGACCGAACCAUUGCAUGUCUCAUUACCUGCAAAUAGACUAUUAGAAUGAAAAGUUCGUAAAUGAAUAAGGAAAGUUUCAUCACAUUGUUCUUUCGAAAUAUAAAAUAACCGACAUACGCAUCUAAAUUUUUUUUCUAGUUGUCCCUACAAUGAAUGGAAAUAUUGGAGGAGUUCUAAACAAAAAUAUCAAGUUCAAGCGAACCUGCAAAGAUGUUGCUUUGGAUCUCGCUAUCUUCAAAAAGCAGAGAGCCGGCAUUAUGAUGGCCUGGAAGGAAAUUAAAAUUCUCAAAGUUUCAAAAUGAUUGCAUUUGACAACAUUUACAUAUCUUUUAAUCCUAAAUAAAUAAAGCUUUCUAUGUUUGACUAUGUACAUUCUGGAUUCUAAGGGAGAAAAGGCCACGACUCCUAUUUUGCAAGGUAUCAUUUUCAUUAGGGAUCAAUGCUAACAAACUCGUAAGAUGAAAGAGAAAGCACUAGCAUGGAUGAACAAGAAAAUCCUAGAAUCUUACAUUUUUCACGAGAAAAUCAUAUUAGAAGCCAUUUGAUGCACACAAAAGUUUAAUUUGGUGAUUUUAUAUAGUUACUCACUCUUAAUACAUUUGAAUUUACCAGUGAUGCAACAGAAAUAGUAUACUGGGCAGGCACAAUCCAGAAGAAUAGAUUGAUCUAACUGAGCCAGAUUCCUCUAAUAAUUGAUAUCGAGUUCUCUUUCACAAGUUUGAAAAUAACGUUGGUGUAGAUAUCAUUCAAACAAUGCCCAAAGGACGUUAUAUCUUUUGCAUGAACUCCCUUCCAAGCACUAAGAAAUAAGAAAACUAAUAUCUAUUGAUUAUAUGUGAUUUAUUAAGUUAAAAUGCUGACCUUAAGGCAUUAGACAUAUAAAAACACAUAAGAAUCAGUUACACUAGAGGAGACUCAGAUCCAAUUGACAAAAUAGAGCUUGGAAUUAAAAUGAUACAAUUUAUUGUUAUAAAGAACUAAUUGAUUAACGAUAGUUGGUAUAAAAGACUAACGUACCACAAGUAUACUUAAGAGAGAGCCAAUCAAAGCCAUCAACAAACCUGCAAAAAGCAUGCAAUGACUGAUCACAAAUCAGCAGGUUAGAUAUUUAAUUUAAUGGACAGCAUGAUGGAGAACAGCAAGAACAAUAACAUAAAUUGGCCUUGGCAAUCCAGUAAACGACAAAGAAUGCGCCAUAAAAUCUGGAAAACCUUUGAAAUCCCUAAGAACGUUCAGGUACUUAAUAUUUUUAUGUUAGUACUAUGAGCACCUAUUUCUAUUUUAUAUGAAAUAUAAGCGUGUUCAUGCUAUAAAAUGAUAUUUCAUAUGCUCAUAAAUUAUAAAUCAGAUCUUUGCAUAAGAAAGCUUAGUGCCCACCGAAAAAGGGUAGAAGAAAAGCAAUGCACACAGUUGAUACGACGAGAGCAGUUCUCAGCAAGAGAGUGCACCAUAUUUCAUUGGACAAUCUCACCGGAAGAAGCUCCUCUAAACUUCUGGCCAAUGGAUUCAGCAACAAAGCAUAUCUAUUUCUCAUUAAGGAUACAGUAGAUGUACAAAUCAAUAGGACUAUUUCAAGGACACAAAAUAGAGCUUAGCGUCAAACACUUAAUUUUCAAAAGUUUGAUGUCAAAGGAUACUUGGUGAAAGGAUUGAUCACCUGACAAAAGGGUAGAAUGAUGGUAAAUCAGCAAAUAGUUGAGGAAAAAAUAGUAUUUAUAAAUAUUAAUGCUUAUGUUGAAAAAUUGAUAUUUACCGUUGUCCAUAUUGCAACUUUUGAAGCAACGGAAUUCUUUGGCAAAUUCAAUGUUAUUUGAGAAAGAGUAUCUUCGCCAAACAUGAGAAAUCCAAUAGUUGCAAAAGAGCCAUAUAUUGCUGUGCAUAGAGCAAAACUAUUUCCAACAGAGGGGUAAGAACAAAUUGUCAGAAAUCAACAGCAAGCAGCAACAUCGUAAAACAACUCCAUUGUAAUUUCUGUAAUGUAUCCUACCAUAUGAAUAAUGCCUUCUUGAAUUUUGUACGAUCUGACAUCGAUUGGUAAAUAUUUGGAAAAACUGAAUGCCCAGAGUAGCAAAAGCCAUAUACACCGAUAGCAAAAGGAAAACCACUCCAAUCAACUGCUUUUCCAGUCUGAUGAAACCCUACUCCAUCCACAGUCCCAACGAAAAAAACAGAAAGGAAAACCAAUAGAGUGGUGAUCACACCACCAGCUGCAGAAGAUAUGAGGUUAAGAAAAAGUACUUGUCACCUUCCAAAAUAAAAUCAGAGCAGAAAUCUACUGACCCAGACCCGCCACUCCUCUCCCCAAGCCUUUCAAAUUAUAGGUAAAUUUGAAACAACCAAACAGGUUCCUGAACUUCUAUUUUGUUUUGAACCGCUGACUAACAUCAUCUCAUUUCUUUUUAAAAUAUUCCAUCAAGUUUUGACAGGCCUUAGCUUAUUUCCAUCAAGAAAAUGUUGUAAAAUUUUCCAUCAGUUGCAGAAACCAUUAAGUUCUAGUGUAAUUUUUUGAAAUUAGGCAACAUGUAAUUGAAGGAUUGAGAUCCAAUGAGUAAAAUUCAUAAAUUUGUAUCCAGAUGGCCUACAGUUGAGGGGAUAGCCAUAUAUUUUUGUUUAACAUCAUUGUAUCAGUAUUGGACCUCCAUAAAACGAUAGCCAAGUAUACCUGAAAGAUAAGAAAUGACUCUAAGAUCUCGGAGCCAUACAGUUGGUAAAACAAUCAGCGCAGUCAAUAUUCCAAAGAAGUGAAGGGAAUCAAGAUGAAUCCCAGCCCAAUUAAAUGAAGUCCCCGGAAAGAGCCUCGUAAGAUUAUCUCCUUCCAAAAUAAUAAACUCCACACAGUAUGACUGCACACGACAAAGAAAAGAAUUAUCACAAAUUUGAAAAGAAUUCACUGGAAUGAAAGAGCAAGAAGCCACGAAAUUACUUCCUGAAGCUUAGAAGGCUUCACUUACAUAAAGUUCUGUGUACAAUAUAACCUGCACAACAAAUACAAAAGCAUCAGAGAUUGUUUUGGUAGUAUCUUUUAUCAAGUUGGGUAAGAAUUCAUAUUUCGUCCUAUGUUUUCUCCCAUGUACUAUCUUUGUUUGAAUGCUUAAACAGUCAAACAUACAGAGAUAAAUAGCCGUCCAAAACUCCCAAAUGCAGCUUCUCCAAUAUCAGGAUAGCUUGAAAUGCCAUCCUUGCUCUCGAAACAGUACUUCAAGAGAAUCCCAGUAUAACAGCAAACACCUGCGAAAAGAGCUAGGAGAGCCAAACCAGACCAACCAGCCUCCUUAAUUGUAAAUGGAAUGGAAAGAAUGCCGACGCCAGCCAAUACAUUGACCCCUGUACCAUAACAACAAGAGAUGAAAAUUAAUGCAUCUCGAAAUUAAUACAAGCAUUACUAUGUCUUUGUUAUCACACUGAUGAUUCGGCAGGAAAAAGAAAUAUAUAUAUAUAUAUAUAUAUACACCAUUAAAGACGGUCUGUGUAACACUGCACCCAUGGCCGAUGUAUCCUUCUCCGGUAUAUUGUACAUGGAAGGAGAUUGACUCAUCCACCACAGAGUUGAGAGCUUUCUUCAAGUUCUUAUCUGAUUCUUGCUUCUCCAAUAGGUGAUCAGAGAAAGAAGGCAGCUUAGCAUCAGAGCCUAGUCCGCUAUAAGACCGAAGAUCAAAGCUCGAGUAUCUAAUACUAGGAGAACGUCUGAGAUACCCAAAGCUUGGAGAUGCUGUGAUUGAAUAAGAAUCAAUUGUUUCUCUGUCACAAAUAAAGGGUAUUAUGUCACGAUAAAGUCUUACACGAUACCCAGAACAAAGCAUACCAGACGAAUAUAUGAGAAUACUGAUCUACAGACUAUAGUUGAUAAGCUGAAUAUAGAGAACAAAAUGCACAGAAAGAGGCAUCCAAUUAAGUACAGUUUUCGUUCAAUUCACAAAUUAUUUCCACAAAAGUAGACAUUUUUGCUAGGAACAGGGUGUGGGUUUUAAAGACAACAAGGCCUCAGUUAAGACCAAGAUUACUGGGGCUUACUAGGAAAGGCCUUCUCGCAAUUAAACACUCAAAAAAUGGUCUAGGUUGAUCCGGUUAACCUCUUUAAUCCAAUUUUAUCAAAAGAGACCGUGGAGUAGAGCUAGCUCCAUUUUCUAAACUUAUUCUCCUAUAUAUAUUACAUGUAUUAUUGUUCUGUCUAAGAAAAAAAUAUAUUUUCUUGUCACACCAACCAAAAUUAUGUUAUUGUUGUUCAACAGAGUGCUGUUCAAGUUGUACUGUUAGGAGAAGCAAUAAAUUGAUUCCUCAAGCAGCUUCUCUUUGCAGCAAAAUCAGAAACUCCAGAUUGGAUAUCAUGCUUUUGAGCCUCAAAAUCACAUUUCUGCUUCCCGCCUGAGCAAAAGCUCCAGUCUUGUUUGUUUGUUUGCAAAAUGCUCUAUUAAGAUGACUACACCCAAAAGCAGAAGCAGAAGUAAAAGUAAGACCAAACGAGCCCUAGACCUAUAGAACAAACAAGUUUCUCAACAGGAAGAAAACUCCUAGUAAAGCAACCCCCGAAAUAAUCUUUUUUUUAAAAAAAAAAACUGUCUUAAUACAAUUGAGUUUGACCAUUUCUUCCAAAACAAAAAGAAAAACAACUCCAAACGCUUCCUCGAGUUAUUAUUAGGCCUCCAUGACAAAGUUCACACCUUUCAUUAUCAUUCUCCCCAAACACAAAACCAAAUUGAUUAAACAAUAACAGGUCCCAAACAGUUUAACUCCCACCCAUACAACACUUCACCAGAUACCACAAAGCAUUUAUAGGAUUAAGUAAAAAUGUAUAUAACUUACCUGAACUACGGACAAUUUCAACUAUACUUUGGACUUUAAAAUUUAAACUAAUUAUUUACUUUAAUAAAUUUUAAAAUCAAAGUGUCUGUUAAGCAACUCAAAUCGAGUCAAAAUUUUGAAAGAUCGAAUAGCCGACUCAAAAUGGUCCAUAGUUUAGGAAAACUCUCUACGUUUUCACCACAGGAUUGUAACAACAACAAUAACAACAAGAACAACGUAAUUGAAGAGGAGAAAUGGAUACAGGACCCGCCAUUGUCGCGGAGCUCCACACUCACCUAUAGCUCUGGGGCCAUUGGCGAGAUUGGAACUGAGACGAGGGCUCCUUCUCCUCCUCCUCCUCCUCCUCCCCAUCGCUCCCUCCUCCGCCCUCGUACUUGUCCUCCUCUAUGUCCCGGUCGCUCCCGCCCUCCAUGAACACCUCCUCCGCGUCCCUGUCCCUCUCCUUCCCCGCCAUCCUCUGUACCCCAACCGUGAACCCUAAACCCUAGUUCUCAGAUGGAAGAAGCAAAGCGCGGAAAUCGCCGAUCAAAUUGUGCGAUUUCGCGGGAGGGGUAGAGAACGAAAGACAAAAAAGGGAUAAUACGUUCGCGAAGGGUGUAGCAAGGUUUUCGAAACGGUUUAUAUGUGGCCAAAAAGAAUCUGUACACUGAUUGGUGCAAGGGAAUCCUCGCCGUUGAGCAGCAGAAAAUUACAAAUAUAGAGAGUCCCGUUACUAUCUGCGUUGGUUUAGGCAUAAGUAAAAAUUACUUAUUUAUUUUUACUCAUUUUAGGUGUAAGUUAAAAUUACUUAUUUCAGAAAUAGAUAUAAGUUCAGAUAUAGUUAAGAACUAGGCCAAUUUUAUAUUUGGAUGAAAAUUGGAUUGUUCUGAAAAAUAAAAUAAAUAGUGUUUGAAUGGUUAGAUUGGAACAGAGGGAAUAAUAGUUAUAAUUUUAAAUUAAAAUUAUUUUAUCUAAUUAAUUAACAUCAAAAUAUUACUUAAAAAUAAUAAAUUAAUGAUAAGUUAGUUAAUUAUAAAUUAAUAAAUUAAUUAAUAAUUAAUUAAUUAUAAAUAAAUAAAUAAAGUAAUUAUUUAAUAAUUAUAAAUAAUUAUAAUUUAAUUAGUAAUUAUAAGUAAUAAAUUAAUAAAUUAUUUUAUUAUUUAAGCAAUAAAUAAUUAUUUAAAUAUAUUAAUUAAAUUAAUUAAUUAUUUAAUAUCAUAAUUAAAAUUAUUUUAAUACUUUAAUUAAUCUUAUUCUCACAUGAGAAUAACCUUGUUUCAUGGAAAAGAUAGAACAGUAGUUCCAACCUUAUAUCGGCUUAUUCCAGAAAUUCGAAAAUUACUGUUCUCAAGUACCGAACGCAGUAUUUGGGAACAAAGGGGGGAACAAGUGGUAUAGAUCAUAUUCAACAGUGCCGAUCGUCAAUUUGGAGGCUCUAUCAUCGAAAACAAAUGGGUGACAACAGAGUCCGUUUGCUCCCGAUAGCAUUUCAGCUCAACUAUAUAUAUAUAUAUAUAUAUAUAUAUAUAUAUAUAUAAAAACUGGUAUACUAUCGGUAGCACGGAGGCCUCCGUGCUACCAAGUUGUUUUCAAUGAUGUAGCUUUCAAAUCGACGAUCUGUUUCCUUAAAUUUGAUCAACACUAUUAAAAGUAUUUGGAAACUAAAUUUUAUAAUUUUUCGGCAUCAUAUACCUAUCAAACAAGUAAUCUAAAAAUAAACAACUGAAAAUAAAAAUCUCAUAAAAGAUGAUGAUAAAAGACAUGUAUUUAAGAUCAGACGUACUGAUCUUACUCUAAAUAGUUGAUAUCUGUCGUUUUCAAGUUUAACGGUGUAGAAGUAUUCAAAUCAGAUAAAAUUUUGAUACAAAAUUCGUUAUACUAUCUACAAUAAAAUCAAUAUUUCUGAUCGAAAAUUUUAAUGCUAUAUCACCACUUUUUAUUGAAUUUUUAUUUUCAGCCGUUAAAAAUUAUUGAUUUUGAAUUAUUUCGAUUGCUAGGUAAAUGAUAUUGAAAAAUCACAAAAAUUAUUCUCUAGAAAGUUUAAAUACCCUAGAUCAAGUCUAACAGAACCGAUCGUUAAUUCGAAAAUUCUAUCAUCGAAAACGACUCAGGAGCACGGAGGCCUCCAUGCUCCUGAGAGCACAGCAGCCCUACUAUAUAUAUAUAUAUAUAUAUAUAUAUAUAGAGAGAGAGAGAGAGAGAGAGAGAGAGAGAGAGAGAGGAUUAAACCUAUAUAUUAGGAUUAAUUUCAUACAAGACCUUGCAAAUAUAGUGAUUAUAAAUAUAUUCCUACAAAGUUUAACUUUCAAAUAUUAUUCUUACAAAUAUUUCGAUAUUUUCAAAUAUAUUUCUACUGUUAAGAUCCGUUAAAAAAAAUGCGAUAUGCUGAACCUUAACAAAUUGACAAGGUUACAAUAUAAAUUUAUGUUUAAUUGAGUUGAAAAUAUUUUGCGCAAAAUAGACCUAAAAACAGACUUUAAAAUUUAAAAUUUAAGUUAUAGAGGACUAAAGUUGAAUACUUAAUUUUGGAGGUCUUUCUAGCAUUUUUUCUAUAUUAAGUCGUGGAGUCCAGGUUGACACCCCAUCCUUAACAAUCUCCUUUUUUUGUUGUCAAGUAAUAAUAGAGAGAGAUAUUGAGCACAAAAAAGAGAGCUUUGUUUCGUUCUAACGAGCGAGCGAGAAGUCGAGUAUGCCCACGUGUAUUUUUGGUAUUUCAACGUCACGAUUAGUAUUAAAAUAUUAUUAUCUUUAUUUAGACUCUUUUGAUAUUUUUUUGAAAAAGUUUGAUAGUUAGAAACUGAUUUUUUUAUACUUUUUAGGAGCGUAUUUUCGCAUAAUUGUGACGAGCAAUUUUCGAGUUAUUUUAAAGUAUUGUAGUUACUAUCCUAUCUACCGUUCAUUUUCUCGGAUUUGUAUUAUAGGUAGAUUCUGUGUUCUCAAAAUUGACAGACUAAUUUCUAUAUUCAUAUUAUAUUAUUUAAUCUAUGAGAUGAAUUGUUGAUAUAGUUAAAAUAAUAGUGAUAGAUUGACAUAUGUCAGUAUAUUUUUCUAAAGGUCAAUAGACAAUUACAGCUAGUGUAAAGUAUAACUAUAUUUUGGACACUAUAACAGUAUUAUCAUGAUCUAUUUGAUCAUCGUAUUUGACCACGGCCUUCAUGUUAUGUUGAAAUUGACAAUAAUACUAUACUUUGGGGUAGCGCCCCGCGAGUGUCAUUUCGAAGGUUAGGUUAUAAAAUAUUAUUAUGAUAUGGGACAGACAGCAGUCUGCGUGAUAGCGGACCACUAUAGGCGGUGUUGGACACGAGGCGACGCAAGUUAGACGUGACUGUUGGGUCGGUUAGUAUGAUUGGGUAUUAUUGCAGUAUUUUAUUUAGUAGUUGAUUGAUGCAUGCAAUACAUGAUUUACCAUUUCAACUAUAUUGUAGAGACAUGAUAGUAGUAGUUUUUUUUCUGCAAUUAUUUAUACUAGUAUCUGUUCUUUCUUAUCGCUCAGUAAUUUACUAUUUUUGUCUUUUAUAGAUUUAAUGGUAUCGUUGGCAUUGACGAUUGUACCCACUGAAAACUAUUGAUUAUAGUUCUCAUACUCUUUUUAUUAAUAUUUUAUUUGAGCCUUCUCCACCAGCGACUGAUCGAAAUAAGGGGACUGCGUAUAGUUAGUAUCUCCUACUCUUUUUGUGUGUGUAGUUGGGCCACCUAUCAGUGUAUAUAGCAGUCUAUACAGUAUUUUGAGGUUUGUAGUGGUCAGAGGUGUUGUACCAUUUUGAGCACUGUUAUGGGGAUGAUUGUAUAUUUUUACAAUAUUGGCGUGACAAAAAAUUAGUUAACCAUAGCUAAAAUACUUAACGCUAAUUAGUUAAUGAGGUGAAUUGAUCCAUUUACCCAUCUUCAAUUAAAAAUUAGGACUUUCAGAGAGAUAUAUUUGUGAUGACAAAACGAUUAUUUCACUUAUAAAAUAAAUAGUAUUUUAACGGUAACAAAUCAGAUGAAUAUAUUUGGAAAUAUUAUGACGAACAAUAUAUGAAAGUACGUCAAACUUUGUAGAGGUAAAUUUAUAAUUUACUAAAGGGACCUGUAUAAAAUUAAUUCUAUAUAUUAAUAAGAUAGGUUAUGUGAACCUAAGUUUUGUAUUUAUAGAAAAAUUGCUCGGAAGCAAAACAAGAUGGAGCGUUGAUUGAGAAAUUUGACGGCGGUAGUUGGUGCAGAGUCAUCAGGUCGGUGACUGACGCACGAUAUAUAUUUAAAUAAUUUGAUAGUUUUUCAAAUUUAAAAAUUUAAAUUAAUUAUCUAUUUUAAUAAAUUUUAAAAAUAAUAGUAAUUCAGUUUAAAUGUAUACAUCUAAAAAGAAUUGGCAUAUAUAUAAUUUAAACGAUAAGGUACAAUAUUUAUUUUAUUUUUUUCUUCUGGUUGUAGUGGAAGAGAUUUUUUUUGUCCCCGUUAACAUGUCAUUUCAAAGAAAAUAAUAAUUGAUGGGAUACUGACCGUUUCUAGAGUAAUAGUUGAUAUCUGAGGUCUCAAAUUCGAAUUCUAGUUGAUUCAUAUUUUCAGCUAAGUUUAUUUCUAAAUGAAAUAAACGAAGCAGGUAGCGUGUUUACCUAUCUCUCAAAAAAAAUAAAAAAUGAUGCGAUGUACAGUAGAAAGAAUAAUAUAUUUUUUUUACUCUGAGAUAUCGUUUGGUUCGAGGAUAAGUAAAAAGUGACUAUUCUAGGAAUAGGUAUAAAUUAAGGUAUAAGCGGGGAUUAGAUCAAUUUUGCGUUUGGAUGAAAAUUAGGUUAUUACUGGGAAUAAAAAAAAUAGCGUUUGGUUAGGUAAGAUGGAAUAAGAAAAAUAGUGAGUUUUAUAAAUAAAAAAUAAUCAUAUUAUCCUCUUAUUAUAUUUGAAUUUAAAUUUUUAAAAUUUUAAAUAUAUAUUUUUAAAUUUAAAAUUUUAACUUUGAAAUUUUAAAUUUUGAAACUUAAAAUCUCAAAUUUUAAAUUUGAAAAAUAUAAAAUAUCAAAUUUUAAAUUUCAAAUUAAAAUAUCAAAAUUUAAAUUUAAAAUUUAAAAUUUAAAAUUAUAAACUUUAAUUUUGAGAUUAUAAAUUAUAAAUUUUAAAAAUUUUUAAUUUUUUCAAAUAAGAAUAGGGGUGGAAACAAUUAAUAAAAAUAAUUUAUUAUAAUAAAUGUAUAAAUUUUUUUAAAAUUCUACUUAAACUUAAAUUUAAUAAAAAGAAUUUAUUAUAAUAUUUAAAUAUAAUUUACUAUAAAUUUUAUUAUAAUAUUUAAAUAUAAAUAAUAAUUAUUAAUUUAGUACAAUUAAUAAUUUUAUAAUAAAAAUAAUGUAUUAUAAUAUAUAAAUUUUAAAAUUUUAAAUUUUAAAAUUUUAAAAUUUUAAAAUAAGAAUAGGGGUGGGAACAAUUAAUAAAAACUAUUUAUUAUAAUAAAUUUAUAAAUUUUUUAAAAAUUCUACUUAAACUUAAAUUUAAUAAAAAGAAUUUAUUAUAAUAUUUAAAUAUAAUUUAUUAUAAAUUUUAUUAUAAUAUUUAAAUAUAAAUAAUAUGUAUUAAUAUAGUACCAUUAAUAAUUUUAUAAUAAAAAUAAUGUAUUAUAAUAUAUAACAUAUUAUAUUUAUAUAAUUUAGUUUUAAUUCAAUUUAUAAUUUUAAUUAAGUUUGAAAUUAAGAAUUGGAAUAGUGCUAUUCCACCAAAAUGGUGGAAUAGCAAAUUCCUUGCUAUUCCGGGAUAAUCGAGAAUAGCAAGGUUUGACCGGAAUAAAAUAUUCCGGUCAAAUUUCAUCCCGUUUAGCAGAAUAGCGGGAAAAACUUUUGUUAUCCCCGCUUAUCCCCCAACCAAACGGGGCUGAGAGAAUAUUUUUACAUUUAUAUUGUCCAAAUUUGGUGAUUAUCUUUUUGUCCUUGUAUUACGUGUUAUGUGUCUUCUUGCUCUUGGAUCAUGUGUGGUAUGUGUCACCUUUUUAUCCACUUUUUGUCACAAGUGUAUAUUUCGCGCCACAUGGAACAAAGUGUCCUUCAAGGAUAGAAAAUUUUGGCCCACAAAAAUAUUGAAUAUAUAAUUCUUUAUUAGUAAAAAUAUAUGGAAUUUUUUUUUGAUCUAUAUAUAUACCAUUUCAUCUGAUCAAUUAAUUUAUUUGGUUUAAAUUAUUUGAUAAUUUUUUGAAUAUAAAAUUUAAAAUAUUUGUUUAUAUUAAUAAAUUUAUAAUUAUAUGAAUUAAAUAAAUUUUACUAAAUUAAUAUGAGUUAAAUAAUAUAUUAAAAUCUUAAAGUUAAAGUAUUAUUGGCUGUCUCAAAUUAAAUAAAUUAAAAAAUUAGAUAAUAGAAUUAAUAAUUUUAAAAGUUGGACAUUAGAUCAAAAUGCAUUACGAUCCAGAUAAAGUUUUAUAUACUUUUAUAAUUUUUAUUUUUAUAAGUGGUUGUAAUCUCUUUACCUCGAGAUUAGGUUUUUUUUAAGAAACUUUGCCCCAAAAGCGCAUUUAGCUUAGAGAGGACAUAAUGCUAAAAAAAAAAAAAAAAGUGGCGAGCUCAACAACAAGGCGACGUUGCCUCGUUGGAGAGCUCCAAUCCGUCAUCACGUAUUAUUUUUAUCUUUAUUUAAGGAUUUAUAAUCCUUCCUAUUAGAGUUUCAAUUUUUUUUUUAUUUUAUUAUUAAAAAACAUCUUUAACAAAUUGGUGGAUGGAAACAAAAUUAACUCAUAGCAGCAGAUCGAGAGCUCCGUAAUGAAAUGUCAUUGGGGAGCUCCACCACUGCGCAGUUUUAUCUGCAAAAUGUUGAGUUCCAGAACUUGCAAAUACAAUGAACAAAAUCCAAAAAUUCUACAGGGAGGUUUAUCAUUGCAAGAUGACUCGACGAGGAUCACUAUCAUUCCUGCUGCUUUAAGAUUCAGUCCACGCGACCCAUCUCCAUCCCACCCAUCCUCUUUCCUGUAAGAUCUCUUCACCUCUUUCUCACUGAAAAACAAACUAUUCUCUCUCAAAAAUCCUAUCCCUAAUCCUAACAACGCUGCGAAGGUAACGAGCUGGUGGUGCGGCGGCGAGAAAUAAUUUUACAUAUUUUUUAUAAUUUUAUUUCGUACAUAAAAAUUUUUAAAAUGAAUUUGAUAUUUUUUUUUGGCAACGCUCUAAUUUGAGAAUAGUAUUAAAUUUUUCAUAAAUUUUUAGAUAAAUUUAUAAAAUUAUAUUUAAGAGUGAAAUUAGUGUUGUGUUACCCUAUUAUUUUUUAGUUUAUAUGAAGCAAAUAAUGGAAUGAAAAUAAUUCAUUCCAAUUUCCAAUCCACGAAUGAACCAAACGUCUAUAGGGAGCAGACCAAUCCAAUUACCUUUCCAAUUUAUUCACAUUUUAUUAUCUAUUCCAAUUCCAACCUUGAACGAAACUAAUUAUAUUUAAGAGUGAAAUUUUUAAAAUUAUUGAUUAAUUUUUUAGGUGAAGCUUUUGGUUUUUUGUGUAUUUUUGAUCAUAAGCGAUGUACUUUCUUUUGCAAUGCUGGAGCUCUCCAAUGCAAAAGAAAUAAUACGAUUGUUUUAUAUUAUUUAACAUAGUAUUAGAAUACAUAGUUUUGAGUUUGAGUCACGCCAGAUUUAUUAAUUUUUUAUAAUUUUAAUUCAAAUCCAUAUUGUGAGCAUGGUAAAAAGUUUGAGUCGAGACGUGAGCGAGAGUGUUAAAUAUAAAAAAUAUUUUAUUUAACAAUUUUCACACAAAUUAAAUCAAGAUUACUUCCCAUUUCCAUCACCAUCAUGCCAUCUAUGAUGCAUUCAUGCCCUGGAGUCUAUACAUAUUUGUGUCAGUGUGUCACUGGACCAGUUCACCUCAUAUAAUUUUAUGGGAAAACUUCAAAUACCCUCUAUGAUUUCGCACUUUUUCAUUCUAGUACCCUAUGGUUUAAAGUGUAUCAACUUAGUACCAUAUGAUUUCGCACUUUUUCACUUUAAUAUCCUGUGGUUUUAUUUUUGGAUCAAGUUAGUACUCUGUGAUUUCAUUUUUGGAUCAAGUUAGUACCAUGUGGUUUCAAUUUUCUCUUUUUAUUAUUUAUUUCUGGGUAUAUAAUUUAACGAAAUAUUAAACCACAUAGUACUAAAGUGAGAAAGUACGAAACUACAGGGUACUAACUUGAUACACUUUAAACCACAGGGUACUAAAGUAAGAAAGUGCGAAACGACAUGGUACUAACUUGAUACAUUUUAAAUCACAGAAUACUAAGUGAGAAAGUGUGAAACCACAAGGGUAUUUGAAGUUUUCCCUAAUUUUAAUCCACAAAAAUGUAGCAUAAAAAUAACAGAUUAUAAACUCAUAACAGAAGAAAAGUACCAGUAAACAGUUUGAUUGAGAUUUUCUGAGUCUCUUAUUACUAUCUAAAACUGCCAAAUAUUUGUCUAGGGUUCUUUAUUAUUUACUUGCUGUUUUUUGCUUGGAUCCAAAGCAUCAGAAAUUAUCACCUCUGUAAUCAAUCUUAUUACACUCACUCCAUAAAUUAUCAUAAGAUAUAUUUCAUUUCCCUGUGGAUUUACUAGUCCUUUUUUUUUUUUUUUUCGUUUAAUGGUAACCCAAAAAAGUUUGAUAAAAUUAAAACCAUGGUAACAUUUGGAGAGGUUUAAAUUGAGGAAGAGCUUUUUUUUUUGUUGAAGAGUAAAACACACAACAUUGUGUACACAUGAUUCGUCAAAACCCUAUUUUUGUCUCUCUCUCUCUCUCUCUCUCUCUCUCUCUCUCUCUCUUGUAUCCUCUUCUUCCUCAUCUACUACAUUGCUCCGCAAUGAGGGGAGCAAGAUAUGAUUUUGAUGCGAGGAAAGGGCUAAAUGCUUCAUUUGAGCAUCUGGGUAGGUGAUGGAUUUGAGAGAAAUUGUGGAAAUUUGGUGUUUUUUUUUUCAAAGUUUAUUAUAUAGUUUCAGUUGGUGUGGGAUGGUCUAAACCCUAGAAGCAGAAGCCAUGGCUCCGAGCUUGGGCUUCUCCCAGUGGAGGUGGGGGAAGGAGAAGAGAGGAGGGAGGGGAGCCCCUGUGGUGGUGGCCAUGGAAAACCCUAAUUUUUCCGUGAUCCAAAUCGACGGCCCUGAUUCUCCGGCGCGCCGCGGCAAGGGCCAUGGGAGGAGGAGCCCCAAGCAGCUCACUUGGGCUCUAAUCCUCUCGGCCCGCCGCAGCGUUUGCUGCAUUGUUUCCGCCGUGUCGGCACUCUCCGGAGCUCUCAAAAUGCGGCUAAGCCAUGGGCACCGUGUCGUCCCCGGGGACGACAAGCCCGAGAAGCCGCGGCGGCUUCUCAAGCUCAUCAGUGGCUUCCUUGUGCUCUGCCUCGCCGCCGCGCUCCUCAUCAAGCUCUCGGCCUACUGGAAAGGCUGGCGCUUUCAUCAGCCCGAGUUGCAGAUCGAGGGGUGGACGCACUCGGCCUAUCUCUCAUGGCUCUCGUACCGCGCCGCCUACAUUGCGUGCCCGGUUCAGGUCCUCUCUAAAUUCUGCAUUGUUCUCUUCGUCGUACAGUCGGUGGAUCGGAUCAUAUUGUGCUUAGGGUGCUUCUGGAUUAAGCUUAAGAGGAUCAAACCAAGGAUAGAGGAGGGUGCAAUCAAAGGGGAUUGUGAAUUCCCCAUGGUUCUUGUUCAAAUUCCCAUGUGUAAUGAGAGGGAGGUAAUCAAUCACUAAUGACUCUAUCACUCUGCAUAGUUUGAUUUUUUUUUUUUUUCGUUUUGAAGUAAAAAUUUGUAAUUUAAUUCGUGCGGUAGGUUUAUGAGCAGUCGAUUUCGGCUGCGUGCCAGCUCGAUUGGCCUAAAGAGAGGCUACUAAUACAAGUACUUGAUGACUCGGACGAUGACACGGUUCGACUUGUGAUUGAAGCUGAGGUUGUUAAAUGGAGCCUCUGGGGUGUCAACAUUGUUUAUCGGCAUCGGUUGGUCCGCACUGGUUAUAAAGCUGGGAAUCUCAAGUCCGCAAUGAGUUGCGACUACGUGAAAAAUUAUGAGUUCGUUGCUAUUUUUGAUGCCGAUUUCCAACCAAACCCUGAUUUCCUUAAGCUCACUGUCCCACAUUUUAAGGUAGUGAUAUCCAUAAUGACAAAUUCUCCUCCUUUUUUUUUUUUUUUUUUUUUUAAAUCUCUUGAGUUGUAUGAAUAUGUUUAGAAUUAUUCACUCGCCUAUAGAUGAUUUCAAGAAAAUAACAUGGAACUGUGAAUAACUCUAAACGCUGAAAGGAGAUAGCAUAAUUACGUAGGAAUUUACGUUUACGUAAUUUUGGUAAUGAAACAACUUCCAAAUUCACUGAGCUUUCGCUGAAUUUGGUAAGAACAUGUAGUAUUAAAGAAACAAGUGAUCUAUUCUAGUGUCUUGAGUACAUUUGUCGAUCUUGUUUUAUAAUUUAGGGAAAUCCAGAAAUUGGGUUAGUUCAAGGGAGGUGGAGUUUCGUGAACAAGGACGAGAACCUCUUAACUCGGCUCCAAAAUAUUAAUUUGUGCUUUCAUUUUGAAGUGGAGCAGCAGGUAAAUGGGGUGUUUCUGAACUUUUUGGCUUCAAUGGGACUGCCGGUGUUUGGAGAAUUAAAGCAUUAGAGGAUUCUGGUGGUUGGCUCGAAAGAACGACUGUUGAGGAUAUGGAUAUCGCUGUUCGUGCUCACCUCCACGGAUGGAAAUUCGUCUUCUUAAAUGAUGUUAAGGUAAUUAAUGUAUCGAAGAAGCAAUUCUCACGUUAACUUCUGUAUUGAAUAGCUGCUAACUUUGUAUUAGGUUCUUUUCUAGGUUUUAUGUGAAGUUCCGGAAUCUUACGAGGCUAACAGCAGCACAGAUGGCACUCCGGUCCAAUGCACCUUUUUCGUCUAUGCCUUCCAUAGAUCAUAACUUCGAAGGUUUGUAAUCCUCCUAAUUGUCUGUGCGGCCGCAUUGGAGCUUCUGCAAACUUGUUAUUCUAGUAGAGCUUUCAAAAGAAGCACUACUAUCUUUGCUAUUCGGAUCCUUCUCAAAAUGCUUUCCAUUGAAGCUUCAAGUUCGGAGCUUCUGUUUUUGAGGUUCAGAAGCUCAUUUUAGUUUCAUGCCACGGCAGACGCUAUAGAGAUUUUGUUUACCAAAUACCGAGGUUCUGCUUUUCUGAGUAAAGAAGCUAUUCUAGAAGCUUUGUCAAGCAAAGCACCACUUAGUUUUCAUUGUAGCUUUGAUGCAUCAAAAUUCAAGUUUCUAAAAUAGCCUUUUAUGCUUUAUUGCAGAUAUCUAUCUGGAACAAAGACAACUUAAUUCUAUUAUUCUUUCUGUUAAGGAAACUAAUCCUUCCAUUCUAUUCUUUCCCAUUGUUUUGUGUAAUUCCCCCUUUGACUAUGUUCGUCCCCGAAGCCGAGCUACCUGUUUUGGUGAUAUGCUACUUGCCUGUAUUUAUGUCCUUUCUCAACAUCCUUCCCGCUCCACGAUCUUUCCCUUUCAUCGUUCCCUACCUCCUCCUCGAAAACACAAUGUCCGUGACCAAAUUCAAUGCAAUGGUUUCCGGAUUGUUCCAACUGGGGAGCUCAUAUGAGUGGGUUGUCAUUAAAAAGGCGGGAAGGUCGUCAGAAUCGGAUUUAUUAGCAGCAGUAGAGAAAGAUUCAAAAAGCCUUGGCAUCGUAGAGAUUCAGAAACAAGUAUCGGAAAGUGAAUUUAGUGAGCUGAUCAAGUUUAAGGAGCAAGUAGUGAAAGCUUCUUCUCCUGUCAAAAAGGUUAAUAAAAUCUACAAAAAGGAGCUUUGCCUUGCUCUUCUCCUGCUCACCGCAGCGGUUCGAAGUCUUUUGUCCGUGCAGGGGAUUCAUUUUUAUUUUCUUCUCUUUUAAGGAGUAUCAUUCCUCCUCGUCGGAGUCGAUCUAAUAGGAGAACAGAUGAGUUGAUGCUGGAAAAAAGACAAAAAUGAACAUACCAAUUUCACUCAAGUCAUCGACUAUGUGAUUCGGUAAUGAAAACAACAACAGGAUUUAUAUAUAUUAAUUGGGUGAAUCAUGUUACGAGAUUUUCCUGGCAAAACUGGGGAUCAUUCCACGUCUUCGAAGAACUCUUCCACUUGAGUGCGGCUGUAAGUGACAAUUAAUAAAUAACACCAAAUAGAAGAGUUGGGUUCCAAUUUUAUCGAGUAUUAUCGAUAGAAUUUGUAAUUUUGUUCGCUUGUGUUCAACAAUAAACAGCUACAUAUCUGUAUUUAUUCAGUAUAUUGUUGAGUUAAAAGAGAGUUUUUGUACAAUUCUCACCUAAAAUUGGUAGCCUCAUUUUGGUUGUCUUUUUUCCUCUGCUUUCCUUUUCCUAAUUCGUUUCUUUUGGCUGACGAUGAUUGCUUGGGAGUUUUUGGUUUUAGCUCAAGAAACCGUGGGUGGAGACGAACCAAGGAUAAGGGAGUAUCUAAAACAGAACAAUGGCUUUGAUUAUGAUUGAACAAAAGAGGGUGGAGAGGGUCCCAAGCUAUCAAUUGACAAUCCCAUGGAUUACCCAAUGUAAGCAUCUCUUUCGCCAAGUAAUAAAAUAAGAGAAAACUGGCAUCCUGUUGCUCUUAGUUUCAUUCAAGAGGUUUGAGUUUUUGGAAGCAAGAAGUUGAAAUGAUUGCCUGCAGCCCGAAUGCUGAAAGCACUUAUAUCCAUACAUUUCAUGUACCGUAUUGAACAUUUGAUGAAUUAUACUUCGAAAUUGAAAUCUCAUUCCUUCGAUAUGAUCUACAACAUCUAAAGAAGCUAUGUUUGGUGAGUCAUAUGUUCUGAUAAUUUACUAUCUAGAUGUUGCAGAUCAUAAAGGAGCUCUACAGGUAAUCAUUUAGAGGUUGCCGGUUAUAUCGAACGAAUGAGAUUUCAAUUUUAAAAUAUAAUUCAUCAAAUGUUCGAUACGGUUCAUGAAAUGAUUGCUUGCAGUCUGAAUGCUGAAAGCACUUAAUAAGGAGAUAUUAUUGCGCGAAACCAAUGAAUACAUACAUUUCAUGCACUGCACUGAACAUUUGAUGAAUUAUAUUUUGAAAUUAAAAUCUCAUUCCUUCGAUAAUCUGCGACAUCUAAAGGAGCUCAGUAUGAAAAGUCGCAUGUGCUGUUAACCUAUUAUUAGAGCAUGUGCUGAAUUUAGUUUCAAAAUUCAGUAGUAUAAAAGUGACAUUAUCCGAUUCAUAAGAAAUAGGUGUCCACAAUUUAUAAUUCUUGAUUCAUUAACCUUUUGAAUAAUAGAGAGCAGGGCCUCAUAUGGUAGGGUUUUAGUGGUGUGGUGUACUGUGCGCCAGUAAUUUUUAUGUAAGAGGUGGAUGCUGUCCAUGUGCUUAAGAAAAGAAUUACUCAAAUCUGCAUUCUGCAAUGUGUUUGAGUUAAUUAUCUUCUAACCUUACAAGAUCUGGUGAGCUACCAGUUAUCAGUUACAAUUUUAAAGUAUGUAUAAACAGGAAUUAAAGCAUUCGCGGCAACAAAGAUGGGCCAAAUAUAAUCAUAAAUGCAAUAUGUCCCCUGAUUGUUGUAUGUUUCAGACAAAACAGUUGUGAUGUGGGUUCCAUGCUCAUCAAGUGGAGAGUUUUGUUACAACCAUGUGCACUGUUUUCAGCUUGAAAUGAGUGAAACAUGAGUGUUUCCUUUUGUCGCUGUCGCGAAGUUUAAGCUUCCCACCAGUAAUUUCGCGACAAAAGUAGUUGUGUCAGUUUGGUCCUAUUGCUGAGAAAUAUCAAGUGUUCUGUACUUCCCUCUCAUCAGAUCAUGUUGUUUUCUCAGAAUCAGUGAGGGCCGGAAAAUAACCGACAUCUUUGACAUCCAUGUGCCUCAUAUUUACUCAAUACUUUUUCGGAGGUGCACGAAAUCUUAGAAGUGUGGCUUCUGAUCAUUACUUCAUCAGAAUAUAGUAAAUUACUUAGUCAAUAGAACAUAGUAUAUUUAGAGUUUGAAAAGUAAGACCAAACAUAGGUAAAAACCAAACUCUUAGGUUGUAUUCGAAAAUAAAAAUCUAUGAUCAAAUGAUGAUAGUGUUGAUGUUUGUAAUAUUCAAAGUGAAUAAUUACCAAUAAAUACAUCUAAAUUGUACAGCAUGAAGCAGAACGUAUCUGUCGACGAAAGAAACAGAUACAAUGCCCAUCAGAGACACUUCUUCCACUCUGCUUCGGCUAAUAACAUGCACACUACUGUAUCAGAUUACACUGAAAACUAUCUAUCGGAGCGAAGGCUCGUAGAUUUUACAAACCUUCAAAUCAUGGCACUUUGACGAAUCCUCGCGAUGCAACCCUUCACACUGCGAGCGAAUUCAAACCAAUUGAAUUCAACCAUGUUACUUUUUUCAUCAAUCAUAGGGCUCUGCCGAGAAGUCCGGCUCAUCCGGCUUCUGCAACUUGGGCAAAUCCAUGUCCUUGACCUUCUGUGAUCCUUUCCUCGUGCUCGCAGCAAACCUUGAAGCCAAGAUCGACACCGCGAGAUUCUGCUUCGGGUGAGAAGCACUUGUAGAGGGAGAACUGCUCUCCUCUUCGUCUUGUCCCGAGUCGUCUGACUUAAACGACAGCGACUCCCUCAAGCUCAGGCCCUUCGCCAUCUUCCUCCUCUUGAACCGCCGCCAGGCCGCCUGGAUAAAGCAAGCCGCCCAUGUCCUCCAAUGUGGGGAGUAGAACCGGAAGGCGUGCUGCAGCUUCUUGCUAUGGAGCCUUCUGAAUUGUGUGGCGACAAAUUUAAGGUCUUCGGCUCGUAGUGCGAAGGCCUCGACUUCGACUAGUGCUUUUACCGUACGGGUCGAAGAGGGCAAGUUGGUGGUCGACUUGGGGAGGAGGGCCCACCCAAGGAGCUCCUCACCGCAGAAAUCGCCGGGCUUCAGGGCUAUGGAGUUGAAGAAGCCGGUGCGGCCACCAUUGGUGGUGGAGCUCUCGAGCUUGCCGCGGAUGAUGAAGAGCAUCUCGGUGACAGGGUCGCCCUCGCGGACGAUGUAAGUGCCCUCCGUGCUUAAAGAGGAUACGAGGCGUUCACAUAUGGCAUCAAGUAGUUGGCCGUCCAUUUGCGAGAAAAAAGGGACCUACCAUUUUCAAAGAAAAAUGCGGGGUCAGGAACUAUUUGCAAGCAAUAGAUAGAACACUAACAAACAAGAUGUAGUUGCAAAUAGCACAAAAAGGUCAUGUUGGAGUAUCUUGUUUAAAUCUGCUACCAUGCUUCAAAUUUCAUAGCAAAUCAGAAGAUAUUGAUUCUAAUAAUCCUCUCAUGGACAUGUGCGACAAGCAAGUGGAAUCAGGUAAAGCUAAGAGAUAAAUCAAUUGCUUCUUCGCAAAGAGAAGAACAAGCAAUAGGGGCAAUACUGCGUACCCGUCGAACGAGGUCCAAGCAAAGGUGGCGUUGGAUGUCUCGCCGAAGGUCGGCAGGUAAGGACUUCAAUAUCGAUUCUUCGUCCACCCCUCGGGUUGCGAGCCACUUGUAUUGGACAAACCGCCUCACCCGCUCUCGCAGUUCGUGAGGGAGCUGGCGAUGCCUCAUCCACUCCUCGGUGUCCCUUUGCUUGAGCCUCCAUUCCUCGACCCUCACAGUGAUAGAUUGCAGGUAGGUCUGAAAUAUGAUUUCGGUACUGGUCAGCUCGAGAUACACGAACGACGAACACAUAACCAAGAAAUGGUAAAACUAACAUUAAUCAGGUCCACUCCAAGUCUGAUAACUAUGCUACAUUUAUUUAACAGAUCAAUUAGUAACAAUUAACUAGAACUUGGAAGAUCAAGCAAGCACCUUCAUAAUUACAAAACUAACAAGAAUUUUACCUGGACGUUUCCGAUCAAAUGUGCAAAUAAAACAAGGCCAACGACAGCUAAGCAAAUGGCAUACAAUGUCUCCCCGAUAAAAGUGCUGACGAUCAGAGUCUGGCCGUAGCAGCUGAAAACAUGAAGAACAAGGUAUACAGCAUAAGAAAAUAUGUAAUUUUGAAUAAUAGCAUAGAAGAAAAAAUAUUUUCCAACAGAGAAAAAGAAGAGCAAAUUUAAGGAAUAUAAUCAUACCUCAGAUUUUGCAAACCCCACCAGAAUGAAUAGAAGUACUUCUUAACGAACUCCUCAGCAGGAGCCUGAUUGCUCAAUGCAGGUUGGAACAUGCCGAAGAGGAAAGCGAUACUAGUGUUAGUAGCAUCGCAGUUUGCAAAGACACCAGUGCUAUUUGCCCAAGUUUGUUCAUCCGGGCUUGAGAAGUCGCAAUCAAAGUACCUAACAUUGCAUAACGGUGUAUUCCCUGUGCCGUCCUCUUGCUUGCAAUAGGAUUGCCAACAUGUAUGUUGGCGAUCAACCGACAGCAAGUACCAGAUCGCUCCUAAAACCUGCAACAUCUGGUCCUUAGCGCAACAAAAGGCUACAAUAUGAUUUGUAAAUCAAAGAUUAUCAUAUUUCAAAUUGUGGCUUUUGCAUAUACACGUCCUUUCAAAAUUAUCUAUUUACAGAUAUACUAUCGCUGUAAAAUCUGAAUUUACAGAUUUACAGAAGUAGCCUUCUCUACUGGGGAGUGAGGGAUGAAAGUUAACUACGGACGAGCAUAUAUGAAAUUCGUAUAGAGUGGAAUCCAAGGAUACCGCAUGACAUCUUAUUUCAAGAAAUAAGCGGAGAAAACGUACAUGGCUGGCAAUCAUGUAAAGAAAUAGAUUGUACGCAGCUCCGGCCCAAGCAGUCUUCGCAACGACACCCGUGACUUUAAUAAUUUCAUAACUCAAAGGAAAUGUUAAAUAUAGCCUCGGAAGAUAUUGAAUUAAGAUGAUGAGAGCAAGAGUGUUAUUGCUAUGUUGGGGAGUUGAGUUCUUGAUUGCUGGUAUUACUAACCACAUAACAAUCUGCAAAAAAAUAUUAAGAAUGAAAAUGUUAGCUAACAGCCAACUCUCAAAGGCGAAUAGAAGAAAAAUGAAAGAAUAAUUGAUACCCUAACUAUCUAAAUUCCCCUCCCGGGUAAUUUGAUACAUGCUUUAAAUUAGCAUAUGCAAUAAAUCAAGAUCAAAACACACACACACACACACACACACACACACAAACUAAAGAAAUAGUUACCUGUGGUAGAGGCAAUGCUGCAGCUAGGUCAAUAAUAAAAUCCGACCUUAAAUACCUCCUCGCGAUUCUUUUAGGAUCCGUGACGAGCUCUCCCCGUCCGAAACCCCUCGUAUUCGGGGCCACAUACGCAGUUCGAAACUUUAUAACAAUAUGGAUAGCAUAUAAUAGAUCUGCAAGCGAUCGAAAGAUGGUGACCACGAUAGCAAGACGCCAGUCGGUCUUGACACACGAAGUGGUCUCACCAUAAUCAAUCGCGGGCAAGUAGAAGUACAUAGGAUCGAUGAACAAAGCGACCAAGCACGAGAUGAGAAAGAAGCGGUUCCAGUUCAAUACGAAAUCACUUCCUGGGUCAAAUAUUCUCUUCCGCCACGGCUCGCGUUCUUCGGAGAUCACUUUCGGCUUCACAGGAUUUACACCAUUAAGUUUAGUAGCGGCGUAUACGCUGGGUUUUGGGGCCUGGUAUGUGGGUAUAGCUUGGUUUUGUCUCCCAUCUGAGUAGAACCUAGAGAGAAAAGCAGUACUGAGAACUUAUGAAUAGUACACAAUAAUAACAUGAUCAAUUCAAACCCUAAAAAACCAGGUUCACAACUGAAAACAAAAGAACCCACGAUGAUUUUAUUCCAUUUUUAGCAUGAUUACAAAAACAAACAAUUGAGACACAAAAACCAUAGCUAAUGUCCUAAAAUUAGCAUCAUUGAACAUAACCAAACUUGAGUCUUGAAUCAGAAAACUAGGGUUUAUACGCCAUUCCGAUUGCAGAACCAACUAAAUACAAGUUCUAACCUACAAAUCACAUCAAAUUUAAAUCAUUUCAAAUGGCUAUUCAUCAAAAUCGGGUCUUUUGGAGGAUUCACAACUAAAAGCAAAAUAACCCAAGAUUAGAUGGACAUUCCGAUUCAGACUCAAAAACCCUAGCUAAUGUCCUAAAAUUAGCAUCUUUACACAUAACCAAAAUUGAAUCCAAAACAUGUUUUCUGCUAAAACCUUGAACCGGAAAAACUAGGGUUUCUGCGCGAUUCCGAGCCAAAAAUCACACAAAAUCAAAUCAUUUCAAAUGGGUCUCAUCGAAAUCGGAUCUUGUGAGAGAAAACAUAAACUCACCUCACGGUCCUCUGCCUCUCGAGCUGCAUCUCAUCAUCCACUCUCCGCGAUCCAAACAUGGCGAUCGACUCAAUCGACUCCGCAAGCGACCCACAUCAAUCCCUGCCCAAAUUCCCCUUCCGAGGGCUCCAAUAACCACUCCGAUCACAACCAGUAGAGCAACAACACCUCAUCUCGGCGCCGUAUUUGGCUCCAAAACGUAGAACACGAUGAGAGGAGGAGGAGGAGGAGGAGGAGACCUCGCAAGGCUCCGAAUUGGGGGAGAGAUGGGGACGAAGCAAGUUGAAUAACUCCAAAAAAACCCUUUUUUAAUUAAUAAUUUAUAUAUAUUACCCCAAAUUCACCUUUUUUUUCUUUUUUUUUUUGAGGUGAAGUAAUAAUAAACUCCAUUACAUGUGAGCUCAUUCGAACAGAAACGGUAAAGAGAGGAGGAAAUGGACUUCACGGAGAACACCGUCGAAAAAUUAAUUAGAAAAUAGGGGGUAAAUUUGCGCGCAGCUCCCCUCAACUAUAAUAUUUUGAGACAGACCACUGGAGUUUUCGCCUUUUUUAUUUUUAGCUGUGAGUCUUUUUUGGAUAAAAAUAUACAAAACUUGUAAAUUUAGUUAGCAUGUACUUCACGUAAUUCUCACAACUAUAAAUUUAUUAAAGUACGUAACUAGCUUAAAUUUUAAAGUCAAAAUAUAGUUGACUGACUCAAACGAAUAAAUUAAAAUAUUGAAUAGCAAAAUCAAAAGUUUGAAAGACUUAAUGGAUAAUUGAUUCAAAAUAGUUCAUAAUUUAUACAAGUUUUGUAUAUAUUUAUUUUUAUUUUUUUUUGUGAAGUAAUAGCUCCUGGUUUAAUGGGGAAAAAUUAUCGGUUAAAAAAAAUACAAAGGGUUCAUGUUAGAUUCGCCUAUAGGCGAGGGAGGUUUUUGACAUUUUUAACAAAUGGGAUUAUAUUGAUUUUUUUUUUUUUUUUUUUUUUUNAGAAUUACAAUUUCGUAGUUUUUUUUUUUUUUUUACUAGUGACAAAACAUUUCAUAAAACUCCAUCACUAUUUACUAAUUAGAUUUAACCAAAUUUAAUAAAUUUAGUUUGCGUAUUAUUUGAUUACAUGCAGUCAUUAAUAUUCCGUAGUUGAAAUGUAAUAGUCGGCAAAAAAAAUAACAUUUCUUCAAACCUACGAAGCAGAAGAUAUAUAGUUACAGCAAAUGUAUCUGUAUAAUACCAAAUAAAAUAAAUUAAUUAAAACUAUUGUAUUUUUAACUGCGUGCAUCUGUUGUAGUUGUAUUGCACUUACGAGUUAAAUUUGAUUAGAUUUAAUUAACUCAAUAAAUCUAUCUAUGUUUUUAUGAAAAUUAUUAUGUUUUCUAAAAAAUAACAUCAAAAUAAAUAAAGUUUCUCAAAAAAAAGAAAAAAGAAAAAAAGAGCAUUUGUGGGUUUAAAAAUGGUGGCGGUGUUUACAAAGAUCAAAGGGGGAGUGGGUCCCACACAAAAGGAUAUAAAAAAGAGCAUAUGUCGUGGCGAACGCUGCUGACGUGGCGCUGAGCGUUGACUCGGAGAAGCGAAAUGCUAAAAAAAAAAGAAAGAGAAAGGAAAAAUGUAUAGGGACUCCCUCAACUAUAACCGUUUCUAAACGGGUCCCUUUUCUUUUGGAUUAAUAACCCCUAAGCUUUUAUUUUUUAGGAUCAAGCAAUUUUAAUAAAAAAAUUUUUAAAGAAUUUUAUCAAGUUCAAUAGUUUUAAUCACUUUAUAGCAAAUAAAAGUGUUGAAUUAUCAAAUGUUACAAAAUUUUUAAUGUAACUUAAAAUAAAAUUUUUAAUUCAAAAAAUAAAUACUUAAAAAAAGUGUAUAUAAAAAGUAACUUUAAUUUAGUUUGCUGUGGUUUUAGCGCAUUUCACUUUACCACUUUAUGGUUCAAAUAUAUUAUACUUAAUUAUUCUAUAGUUUUAUUUUUAUUUUUAAAUUUUAUCGAAAAGAUUUAUUAUAUAAUUUAACGAAAUAUUAACGAAAAAAUUAGUGAAAAGAUAAAAAUGAAACCACAGAACACUAACUUUAUACAUUUUAGAUUACAGGGUACUAAAGUGAGAAAGUGCGAAACUACAGGGAUGGUAUCUGAAGUUUGCUCUAAGUUAUUUUCAUCUUUAUUAUUAAAGUUGAAGGGUUCAUUUCAGAAUACCCUAUAAUUGAGGAAUCUCAAUGUAACUUUUACCCCCCACCUCCCAAAAAAAAAAAAAAAAGUUACAGGGUGUCCAGCUGGAUUGGAGGAUACAGUGGUGAGACAGCUUGUGGUAGCGUGGGGACAAAAUCUUUCACGGAUCACGAGGUGUCUCACAAAUCCCCAGAUGGUUAGUUUACUUCAGUGAAGUGGAACCUCCCACUGUGUGGUUGUCCUCUGGUGCUCAUGUUGAUUCCCCGUGAUUUGACACCUCACCGUCGCAUUUACAACACAGGACGCAGAAUUUUUUUUAAUAUAUUAUGAAAUAAUUUUAUCGCGUAUUUGUAGAGAAUUCAAACUUUCGAUGAUUGAUUUGAUUUGUCAAAAGUAAAAUUAAAUGAAUACUACAAGAUCAAGUAUUUGGUGUAGCAGAUCAGAUCCAUUUUCUUUUGUUACAGAUAGUGAUCUAAUUUAGUAAAUUUAUUUAGGAAUACUAACAUCAGUUGUUAGUAAUAUUAUUAAUCGUUACGAAUGUUGAUAAUAUUGCAAAGUUGCCAUGACCGUUAACAGAAGGAUAUACCAGUUGAUUUGGUCAUUGUGUACUGACUGAAUAUGACCAAAUUCAUUAUAUUCGACCCGUGCAUAACCAAUUCUUGAUUUGCUAAUUGUUGCAUGAUGAAAGUGUUGGUAUUGUUUCAUUUUGAUGAGUAGUAAGCUUACUUGAAAGAGGUUGCAACAGAUUUUUUAGAUUAUUAGAUGAAAAAGAACAUCUUUGAACGAAUUUACUGCACAUAAGCAUCAUCAUUAUAACACUCUAACAAAGUCCCUUGGAUGAUGCUCCAUAACAUUUUCUUCAUUUGUAUUAAUGUGUAAGGUUACAUGUGGUUUUUUAGACUACAUGUGUAAGCCAAUAAUACAUAAUUCGGCUUAGAAAAGGAAGAUGAUUCAACGAAGUGCUAGUAUGAUAUAGUACGAGAAAAUAGACCCCUUGUCUAAGCUAAUUAUGUUUUACUACUUUUGCAAAUGGAUCCGGGUUGGUGGAGCUCCCACCUAGAUCCGCCCCGAACGAGAAUAUAAGUGGGAAUAAAAAAUAUAGAAAAAUAUAAUUCGUCCUGAAUCAAUUUCCAUCCACAAGUAAAUGGAGUGGAAGGUAGGAGACCUUUCUUUUCUUUGCUUCGCUCAAAAUUUGCUCAAAAUUUACCAAAAUUUGCUUUUAUUCGCGAUCCACUCUGAAUGGAGCAGUAAGUGGGGGCCAAAAAUGAAAUUAAAAUUAACCCGCCCCGAUCCGUUCCGACUCGAUAAAAAAAAAAAGAAUGGAAGGCGGAGAACUCCGGAUUCACCUCAUUUGCAUCCUUAGUUUUUACUCAUAGGUUCUAAGUUACCAUAUAUCACAAUCCAACUAAUUACAGAAAAGAAAAGAUCCCUAUAUAACUAUGUUUCCUACCAUAUAGUAUUGAUAUUUUAGCAUAGUACUUGAUAUAGGCUCUCCUAUUUGGUGUGAGAAUUUUCCGUCAUCAUUGGAUAGUAAGAGUGUCUUCAGAUAUUUGGCUUUUACGUUAUUUUUUAAAAUAUAAUAAAUCAGCUCAUAGAUAAAAUAUAUCAUCUUGCUAAAUUAUAGAUGUCGAGACCUUUCAAGGAACAAAUCAGACUUUAAAUUCAAGUCACACUAAAAAGAUCUUUAUAUUGAGUAAGUUAUCGUUGGAUAUUUUAGUCGAUCCGACAUUCAAACAAAUCGAUCAAAAAUACCAUAGAAGCUCACCAAUGUAUCAAUUAUGUAAGCGACCUUUUACGAGGAACACAAAAUUAGUUUGGGUAUAUAAAGAACCCAAAGCCAUCUCAUCCUUUCCUCGCUCAUGAUACAAAAUAAUAACAAGAUUUCAAAUAAAAUAAUUUAAUGAACUUUUAGUGCGAAUUUUAUCUGAGCCGCACAAACAUUUGUAGUUCAUUUUUCAUUUUCUUAGUCAAGUUCAGUUUCCACAAUCUCUUUCCUCCAUAGUCGAUCUCUUUUGUCUACUCUCCUCUAAUUCAAUUGUCAAUCAAGAUAUGUAGGAUGAUUUUUUUAAGGAAAAUGAGAUGAUUUUUGUGUUAUUCGUAUAUUUUAUAAUGAGUUAUAGAUUAAAAUUACGCAUUUUAUAUGUGAAAAAAUAUAGUUAGAAAAACAAGAUAGAAAAAUAAUUCUUUUUAUAUAUGUGCUUAUUAAUGUAUAUUAUUAUUAUUUGAAUACAUAUUCAAUUCAUAUUCAAAUUCGAAAAAAUAACCGAUUAUAUCCGAAUCUGUUUUUAGCAGGUAUGAUAAUAAAAAUUUAGGGUAAACUUCAGAUACCAUUCCUGUGUGUUUCGCACUUUUUCACUUUAGUACCCUAUAAUUUAAAGUAUAUCAAAUUAGUGUCCUGCCGUUUUAUUUUUAUCUUUUUGUCAGCUUCCUCCGUUAAUAUUUCGUUAAAUUAUAUACAAAAAACUUCAAACACUCCACCUAGGUUUUUCAAAUAUUUACUUUAAUACCCUUUAGUUUUAACUUUGUCAUUGAUUUAAUAAAAAAAAUUAGUAAAAUUUAUAAUAAAAAAAUAAAAAAUAAAAUCACAUGGCACUAAAUUGAUACACUUUAAACCACAUGGUAUUAAAGUGAAAAAGUGUGAAACCACAUUGACGGUAUUUGAAAUUUUUUCAAAAAUUUAAUAUCCGACACAUAUUUGUACCUGAAAAAAAAGAAUAUAGAUGCGAACGUGGUUUUGUCAAAUAUCCGAUCAUUUUCGAUCCGUUUUCACCCCUAACAAUAUCCCAUCUCUUUCUCACACGUGGAAUCAUCUAAUUUAUCUACAAUGAACCGGUCCCCGUUUAAGCCAGCGUUGACUUUGCCGAACCGGGGAGUAACCACAGAACGAGACUCCGCGGAGAAUCGUUGACUGGGCCACAAAAGUCAACACAAAACUAUUCCCUGCACCGGCGCGUACCGUACUCCACACGCGGCCCAGGUAAAAAUGUAUGCAGAUCCCCUCAAUUAUAGGGUAUUCGGAACUUCAGCCCUCAACUUUAAAUUUUUUUUUCCGAAAAAACUUCAAAUGCCACUUUUAUAAUUUGCACUUUCUCACUUUCGUACCAUGCGGUUUAAAGUGUAUCACUUUAUACCCUGUGAUUUUAUUUUUCUCUUUUUGUUAUUUUCUUCGUUAAUUUUUUCGUUAAAUCAAUGACAAAGUUAAAACUAAAUAGUACAAAAGUGAAUAUCGAUAAUACUAUGGAUGAGGUAUUUGAAGUUUUUUAUAUAUAAUUUAAUGAAAAGUUAACAGAAGGAGAUGACAAAAAAAAAAAAAAAAAAAUACAGGGUACUAAAUUGAUACACUUUAAAUCACAAGAUACUAAAGUGAAAAAGUACGAAACCACAUGGGUAAUAUUUAAAAUUUACCCAAAUUUUUGUAUUGACACUCCUUUAACUUUUUUUUAUAUAAAAAAUUGAUAGCUCUUUUAGCUAUUAACAAGUAAUUAAUCUAAUUUUAUCUACUAUGAUUGAGUUAAACUAAAUAAUUUGUUAUGCUAAAAUCACUUAAUUCCAAAAAACUAACCGCUCAUGGAAUCUCAAAAAAAUGAGGGGCUAUCUUAAAAUGGUAUAUAGGUGAGGGAGUUUUCAUUCAAUUUUACCUAUAUUUUAAUCAACGGAAAAGUAAAAUAGUACGCUAUUUCAAAAUUUAUUUCUUUUUAAAUAGGCCUUUUUGAAUAUCAUCAUAGAACACAUUUAGGAGGGCGGUGCAUGAGCUGUACUUGUACACCCGGUGCAGGGAAUAGCUUUGCAACUUAACUAACUCAUUAAAAUGAGUCAACGUCUCCCGCGUGAUGAGGUCGUUAUGACCUCUUUAUGAGCCUUGUGACAACCUCUUUCUGGGGUUUUGUGGGAGUGGGGCCCACCAACUCCGAUGUCAAACUCAUGGGUCGUGGGGCCCACCCGUUGGAGGGGGAAGGAACGUGUCAACAGCGUGGACGCUAUUAUCGGGAUGCAACAUCACCCGCCUGCACGACUAUUAAAGCGUGGCUCAGGCAAUUUGGACGGUGGGCAUUUGCCCUAGUUAGAGAUGUCAACGGGUCGGGGCGGAUUUUUAAAGAUCCGAACCCGAAUCCGACUCCAAACCCGAGACCCAAACCAGAAUCCGAACCCGACGGAUUUUAAAAAUCCAUAUCCAAAGCCGAACCCGGCCAAAAAUUCGAAACCCAAACCCGAAAAUUUGAACCAUGAAACAAUUAUUUCUUUUUUCAAUAUUUCAAAAUAUAUUAUAUUAAAUCUAAAUUUUUAAAAUACAAAUUCAAAUAUAACAUCAAAUUUAUAUAUAUAUAUAUAUUAUAUAUAAUACAAAAUAAAUUCGGGUUCGGAUUGGGUUCGGGUCGGGUCGGGUUCAAUCAAAAUUCAUAUCUGAAUCUAUAUCCGUCGGGUUUCUAUUUCUGAUAUCCAUAUCUAAAUCCAUCGGAUAUAUCUGUUUCAUUCGGAUUCGGAUUCGGCUAAAAUUUCGACUAUCCAUACCCAUUGACAUCCCUAGCCCUAGUCCUCCCCAAAGAAUGAAAAAUAAAUAAAAUUAUGCCAAACUUAUUUGAAUUGUGUAUUAUUUUAAAUUAAUUAUUAUUAUUUUAAAAUUUGUAAUUUACUAUUUAAUUUUUAAAUUUAUUUGAUUUGAGUUUGCUAAUGGUAUUUUGACUUUAGAAUUUAAGCUGAUUACUUACUUUAAUAGAUUUAUAGUUGCAAGAACUGUAUAAAAUAUACUAACUAAAUGAGUGGAGAUAAACAAUAUAUUCAAAAAUUUGAAAUCAAAAUGUCAUCGAUCGACCCAAGUCAAAUAAAUUAAAAGAUUAAAUAGUAAUAUCAAAAUUUUGAAAGGUUGGUAACUGAUUCAAAAUAAUUUAUAAUUAAUGUAAGUUCCGAAUACUUUAAUUAACCCAAAAGAAUGCAGAUAGAGUAAAAUAUGUAAAAUUAGAGAGAAAAAAAAAAAAACUGAUCUAGAAACAUUCACUAUUUAAGAGCCAUUUGACUUAUAAAUACAUUAUAAUUAGAGAUGCGAAAUUUAUAUUUGUAUUUAUUCCGUUUAGCGCUAUGUAAGAAAAGGAAGUGACUAUAAAUCUUUUAUUUACUUGCUUAUAAUUAGAAAGUACAUUUACAAGUUUUAUUAUUUCACAUAUGAUAUGGGGGGAAUUAUUUUUUAAAAAUAAAAAUUUGUUUUUUAUUUAAAAUGUGAAUGGAUAGAAAAACGUUUCUUUUGUAUAAAAUUACUUUUUUAAUUAUUGUAUUUUCAACUGCUGCAAGUAAUUGCAACUCUCUUUCUUUUUAAAUUUUUUGGAAUUUAUGUUAAAACCAAAGAAAAAUUUGCACAACUUUUUUAAAAAAAGGAUUUAAAGAGCACACAUGUUAUCGUUACAUAAGCUGUAACCUGUAUAAUAUUUGCUUAUUUUACUCGUCUCGUCAACACCCUUUAUUUAUUGCAUUGUAACUCUAUGUUGCUUACUUAUUAGAUGUAACCUGAGUUAAUGAUAUAAUAAUGUGUUUCCUAAUACAUUAUUUGGUUUAUAUAUUAAAUUUUAUAUUAGAUUUUGUACCAUGCGUGAAUCCUAUUAUAGUGAAUGAUGCUUAUUGAAUUGAUACAAAGAAAAAGAAUUGCGACAAGUAGAGCAAAAGAUUCUCUUUUGAACAUGUAGAUAUUAUAAUCAUAAAUUAUGAUAAAUUUUUGUUGAUAAGAUACCAAGUGGGAUUUAAUGGAGUUAGAGGUCGUUUAGUUUAAUAUACAAUUUUAUAAUUAUAUUUUUUUUGAAUUUAUAGUUUUUUUUUUCAAAUUUAAAAAAUAAAAUAAAAUAGAAAGCAAACAUGGAGUCAAACGAGUUGAAUAUAGUCUCAUGAAUCUCAUGUUUGAGGGUAUUAAUGGGCCGGGUUUGGAUCAACCUUAUCGGAGCCCAUGACUCGGUCCGAAACUGAAAAGUUAAGUGGAGCGUGGACCGGGCCUCGGCCCUAGAGCCAACAUUUUACCCAUCUCACCAAAAGAGGGGGGGGGUGGGGGGUUCAGGGACCAAAGUGAAAUAUCUGAAGAGAUAGAGGGGCGCUGGUGCAAUUAAGACUGUAAUUGUUGUCCUAAUACCUGGCCUUCGAUUUUGAUUUGGACGGCUGAGAUCACUUCCGAACGGCCUCUGAUUUCCCGGCAAAACCCCGCGAACAACUGUAACCGUCGCAUCCUCUUCCUACGUAUCGUGCGAAAACCGAAAUUUUACAAAUUAACCCCUCCAUUUCUUCGAAUUCCAAUCCGAAACCCCUUCUCUCUCUCUCUCUCGCUCCGGUUAUCGCCAUGGGAGGCUCUCAUAGUCGCGAGGGCCUCGAGCUCUCCGACGAGGAGGAGGAGGACGAAGAAGAAGAGGAGGAAGAAGACGAAGAAGAGCACGAGCAGCGCGAAGGAUCCCAAACCCUAACCCCGCCCUCCCUCGAUGACGUCGACUCCAAACUCCGCUCCCUUAAGCUCAAGUACUCCUCCAACCCUUCUCCUUCUCCUUCCCCUUCCCCUUCCUCCUCCUCCCAAAACGCUAACCCUAACCCCAACCCUAACGACGCCGUCAAGCUCUACCUCCACAUCGGCGGGAGCUCCCCCACCGCGCGGUGGAUUGUCUCCGACAAGCGCGCCUCCUACUCCUUCCUCAAACCCUCCCCCCUCCCCGACCGCGCUGAUGACUCCUCCUCCCCAUGGUCCUUGGUGAUCGGAUCCAAGGUGCGCGCCAAGGUGGGCGCGGAGAUGCAGCUGAAGCCGUUCCCCGAGCAGCGGCGCGUCGACUUCGUGGCCGAUGGGGUUUGGGCCCUCAAAUUCGCCUCCGCGGAAGGGUACCGCGAGUUCCAGAGCCAGUACCGGAGCUGCCUCUUCGAGAACACCUACGGCCUCGCCGCGACGGAGGAGAACCGCGCCAGGGUUUUCGGUAAGGAUUUCGUGGCGUGGGCGCAACCCGAGGUUGCAGACGACGCCAUCUGGGAGGAUGCCGAGGGGAGCUUCGAGAAGAGCCCGAUUCUCCCGGUUAGGGCGAGCCAGGACCUGUUGGAGGAGUUCGAGGAGGAGGCCAUUGAUGGCGGGAUUCAGAGCCUUGCGCUCGGAGCUUUGGAUAAUAGCUUCUUGGUGAACAAUUCGGGGAUCCAGAUUGUAAGGAAUUUCAACCAUGGAGUUCACGGGAAGGGCGUUUCGGUUAAAAUUAGCCAUGAUGGGGGUCAGAUUGCAGGGUCUUCGACCCCAAAGAAGGCGCUUUUGAUGAGGGCGGAGAGCAAUAUGCUUCUGAUGAGUCCGGGGCAAGCGGGGAAGCCCCACUCGACAGGUGUUUACCAGCUUGACAUCGAAACGGGGAAGGUCGUUACAGAAUGGAAAUUCGAGAAGGACGGGUCUGACAUUACGAUGAGGGACAUCACGAAUGAUAGCAAAGGCUCGCAAUUGGACCCUUCGGAGUCUACCUUCUUGGGAUUGGAUGACAAUAGGCUCUGCCGAUGGGAUAUGCGGGACCGGAGCGGGAUGGUUCAGAAUAUCGCCAGCUCAAAUGAAUCUCCGGUUUUGCACUGGACUCAGGGCCAUCAGUUCUCUAGGGGCACUAAUUUCCAAUGCUUUGCUUCGACCGGCGAUGGGUCUGUUGUGGUGGGUUCGAUUGAUGGGAAGAUCCGCUUGUACUCGAAGAAUUCAAUGAGGAUGGCCAAGACUGCAUUUCCGGGGCUUGGAUCCCCCAUCACUAAUGUCGAUGUUACCUUCGAUGGGAAGUGGAUACUGGGUACUACGGACACUUAUUUGAUACUCAUAUGCAGCAUCUUUAAGGAUAAAGAUGGAAAGGAGAAGACUGGUUUCAGUGGACGCAUGGGGAACAAGAUUGCGGCUCCAAGAUUGCUGAAGCUUACUCCACUGGAUUCGCAUCUGGCUGGGAAGGACAAUAAGUUUCAUGGGGGACAGUUCUCCUGGGUGAGUUUGAUUACUUCCCCUUCAUGCAUAUAUAUGUGUGAUGUCAUACAUGAUGUCAGUUUCUACUCAUGUAGUAGUUAAAUAUUAGUUGAUUAGUUUCUGUAGUUAUAGUGUUACUUGACUUGUGCUUCGCAUUUGCAUAUUUCCAAUUUUUAUUUGUCUUCCCAGGCUGUGACUAGCUUCUAGGAAUUAUAAUUUGUUGAAGUAUUCAUUUUUUUCAGUCUAACUAGAGAAAUCUGUAAGGAUGAAGGUAACUGUUGCUGUCUAUUUUGGAAUGAGAGGUAAUAUCCAGCUGUAGAGUUACUGUCAGGGAAACUAAUGCACUGACUUAUUUGUAUAAACCAACAUUACAAGCAAAUGCACUUAACCGGGGGGAAAAAAAACAAAAGCAGCUCAUGGAGAUAGAAAUAGUAUAAACUCGUUUAGUUUCUUGACAUGUACUUUCAACUUGCUAUGAAGUAGAGAUGAAAACAAGCAAUUGUUUUCGUAUUUUAGCUGAAACUUGAGAUGCAUUUGUUAUUGUCAAAAUUAUUGACUCGGCACUAGAAUGUAAAUUUUCAUGAAGACUCUAGACAUAUACAAUGAUGAUAUGAAACAUGAAUAUUCGCUCGUAUGAGAAUAUGGCACUUUCCACAUCUAUAGUAAAGUUUAGCUGUUUAGAAAGAGCAAAGAACAUUAGUAGGCAUGUUCCUCAAAGAACCGUUACAGAGUAAAUAUCUGCACAGAACACAUCUCUGGUCAAGAUUUAGUCUAGCAUGUUUCAGUUCGCUCGAGGUGACCUGUCCCAAAUUGCCAAUAAUCUAAGAUGGAUACCAGGAGGUAAGGUUUCUACUCAUUUAGAUGAUUUGGCAUUUGUAGAUUCAUUGACUGUUGAAGCAAUUCCCAUCUGGAAGUUUGAGUUACUUUGAUUGCCUUGGCUAUUUCCUAGCGCUUGCUAAGCGUCUAAGUGCCAGGCAAAACAAUAACACUCCAAUCUUAACUUGACCCCUACAGUUCACUAUCAGAUCUAAUCUUGUAGCAUUGCCAGGGGAGAUUUUUAAAAAACUCCUCAAUCUCGAUAUCAUGCCUGAGUAUCCCAUAUAGUAUAAUUAGUGCUAGAACCUUGCACAUAACGACUAUGAGUAGCAAGGGUGAGAGGCAGCUAAGAACUCGAAUUCAAGACAGAUGUCAAAAGGACAAGGAAUCUUGUCAUUGGUGGCGAUUAGAACAGGAUGUAUUUGGCAAACUCCAAAGUAUCGCUUUACGGUAGGAGUGAGACUUUAGCAGGUUUGGCCGUUUUUGCUAUUUUGGGUUUCACUUUGUCUUUCAGUGGCUAGGAACCCAUAUCAUAUAACGGCGGUCCAAAUGCUUAGAAAGCAUAAGCUUCAUUACAGAUAAAUUUGAGAGUUAUUCAGAUCUUUAGAGGAAGUUGCAGGAAAACAACUUUUGCGCAAAUUUGCUUCUGCGGUUGUUCUAUAUUUACUAUCUGCAGCAGUCUUGGUUUCUAUGGGGAUAAGUUUAUGUCAGCACUUGUUUCCUGUGGAAGAUGAAUUUCUGCAUGGGAGGAAAAAGAACCUAGAGAAGAGCCAUUCGCAUCAACAUCUCUUACUGCUGUAAGUUCCUAUCGAGAUUUUGUUGGGACCUCUAGUUUCUAGCUAAAGAGAGGGAUAUUAGAUCGAACAGAGGUAGAGAAUGAAUAGGACAAAAUGGACGGGGAAGAAGACAGGGUGCAUGGAUGAAUUCGCCUACUAUGGUUGAUCUUUAUUCAAGGAUACACCAAGUGUGACUCCACUUUCUGGACAGAAAUAAGUUGUUUCCGAGUAAAUAGAAAUUUGGAAUUAGUCUGGUGCUUUCGGAUUGCCCCAGGAAAUAUUGCGCUAGAUUUUAGUGUUUGUAUUGUCCACGACAUCUUUUGCUGGAUGAUAAGCAUGAUUUUUACAGGAGCUUUUGCAUAUUAUAAAAUGUACCAAAGAAAGUUUUGCAUUUGAAUAGUUAGAAUUUCUGAAAGUAGCUGUUUAAAAUAUUAGUCAUUUCUAGCUAACUACUUUUUUUUUUUGAAAGGAAUGUAUAGGGUAUUUCCUAUACGUUUCAUUGAAUGUAAUAAGAGUUACAUCUACUUGGCGAAAAGCCAUCAUAACUAGCCAGUAGAACAACGAAAUUCCGCUUAAGCACCUGAAUAUCCUUCUAAUACGGACGACUACAUUAUGCUUAUAUUUUUUUUGAGAAAAACAUUAUGCUUAUAUUGUCAUCUCGAAAACUUGAGAAUAUUCAAGAAAAAGAUGAUGGUGAGGUAAUGAACGUAAUUUCUUAUAUCAUGAGAUGAUGAGACAAUGAAUAGCAAUCAUUUAUUUGCCUCCAAUGCAAGUCAUAACAUGAGUGAUUGCUAUUCAUUAUCACAUUAAAUUUUGUUGCGUUCUCACUCCAAUUUGGAUGUCCAUUCACAUGCAUAGUGCAUUAUUUAUCUUUCUCAGAUGAUGAAUGCCAAGAUCCUAUUCUCGAAAUUCCUUUGGUUUUUUGUUGGAUUAACUGUCUCUCUUUUCACUGCUGCGGUAUCUUCAGGUGACAGAGAACGGUAAACAGGAGAGGCACCUGGUUGCAACAGUCGGCAAAUUCAGCAUCAUAUGGAAUUUCCAGCAGGUAAAGAACAGCAACCACGAGUGCUAUCGAAACCAGGAAGGGUUGAAGAGCUGCUACUGUUACAAGAUCGUCCUCAAGGACGAAUCCAUCGUCGACAGCCGCUUCAUGCACGAGAAAUUCGCCACAAGCGACUCCCCAGAAGCUCCUCUCGUGGUCGCAACCCCAAUGAAGGUUAGCUCCUUCAGUAUAUCAAAUCGGCGCUAACUUGUGAUUAUUUCGUUUUCCCUUUUCUAAUUAUCGCAUGGAGUGGAUUGAUUGCUGUUGAUAGAAUUGGUUUGAAAUUACAGAUUUGUUUGUGCAUAAAUUGUCAAUAUGCUAUAUUUAUGUGGCAUAAAUUCCUGCUUGUGGUUUUUAUAAUCAAGAUUACAUCAUUGUAAUGGCUGGAUUUCUUGGUGAUUUUGAGCAUAAUUUUUUCGUUUCUAUUUUUUUUUUUUUUAAAAUGCAUAUAUAUUACAUUUGGUUUCACAUGUUUAUUAUGGGCCAUUUUAUAGUGGGCCACACAGGCUGCUACACACAUUAUCGAUAUCUCGUAGCCAUAUUUUCAUAUUUGAAUCAUUGAAUUGCACACGAAUCAUAUGUAAACUAUUAAAAAGGUGAAUGUGUAGAGGUAGAGGGGCGUAUUGUACAUGCGAUCGCUCUGUGCUAUAAUCUGGUGCACAGAAUUUUCCUACACUCUGUACGAUCUUACUGUUCCUUCAAACUACUGUGAUGAUUCAUUAAUCCAAUAGUUGGUCAAUUCGACAGUUGACAUGCAAAUUGUGUUAUGCGUGGUAAGAGAGUUUGAUAGAAAAAUACUUUAUUUGUCUUCGUAAGUUGGUUAAGAUAUAAAUUUCUAUAGUCUUCUAGAAAGAUAGAGAGUAUUGUUAUAUACUUUCGACCUAACUCUUUUGUGCCCGAUAGCGUUAGGUGCAACCUUUCGUGCUGAAUGGGCCCUUCGAAGUAUGGUAGCAUUAGUCGGUGCCCGAGAAAGUCAUGCAAAUAUCCUCCCCACCUUAUCCUCUUUCUCGCAUGCAUAUUAUAUUCUACUUUGUUAGCAGAAAAAUCUUGCACACAUAAUCAUUUUACUGUAGAUUUACGACGGAAUGGAUCUCUGCUCUAGACUAUCAGCGGCUAAGAUCCCAUCUGCAGCAUACGUAUCAGGUUACAGGAUUUUUGUGCGCACGGAGCUGCAGAAAAAAUUGCACUCGACUUUCUCAUGUGUCUCUAUGUGUGUGCUGUCUGAUGGAGAACCAACAACUUCGAGCCAGACCAACAGCUUGGUUGACAAAGGCCAGGCUGUAGUCAAUUUUCUACGGCCUCGUGCCAAAACUCCAAUUCCAAGCACUUGACCAUUUUUUGAUUCUGCACAAGGUCAUUGUUUUGCUUUUGAUUUUGAAAUCUUAACGACUUACCAUUUGGAUUACUUAGCUGAGAAAGUAUGAUUAAAAAAAAAAUUUAUUUGUUUUCGUACGUAAUAUCACGUUUCGCAUACUGUAAUAAGUCGGUUAUAAUAUAUUUUCUGCGGUUCUAAAAACUCAGAAAUACAUUUAUAUAUGUUUUUAUACCAAUUUUACUUUAUCUAUUAUUAGGCCCUUAAGUCACUAGCAAGCCCUUCAUAUAUUCUUUUGCUAGAGUGCAUAGUACAUAACCACAUCAAUGAUCAACCACAAAUUAAACUUCUCACAUGGCGCUUUUUUCGGGCUUGAUUUGUUAAUCUCUUUACAUUUUAGGGCCCAUUUGUACAAUGAAACAAAUUAGAGGAAGACGUACAGAACUUACUUAAACUAUGAGCAUUUUGAAUCAGUUAUCUGAUCUUUCAAAAUUUUGAUUUUACAAUCCAACCUUUUCAAUUUGUUUGGUUAGAGUAAGUCAAUAAUACUUUAACUUCAAAAUUUAAGUUUAUUGCUUAUUUUAAUAUAUUUAUGAUUGCCAGAAUUGUAUAAAAUAUACUCACUAAAUAUAUAAAGAUAAACCAUGCAGUCAAAUUUUCAAGUCAAAGUAUUAUACCGACUAAAGCAAAAUCAAAAUUUUGAAAGAUCAGAUAAUAAUUCAAAGUGAUUGAUAGUUCAGCAAAAGUUCUGUAUAUUUUUAAGCAACAAAGUACUUAAUAAUAACUUUUUUGUUAUUAUGAUUAUUCUUUUAUGAAUAUUGCAUCCUAGAGUUUGUUGUUAGUCCAUUAAUUAAUAUAGAACUCUCUAGUACCCACAAUUUUUCGAGAUAAUGCUUACUACAUUUAUUUAAAGGAUGAAUUUAUUUGUUACAGAGAAAUUGACUUAAUAAGAGGUUUUAUAUCCUAUGUUGUAGUACUCUAGUAAACAUUUAAUCAAACCCAUCCAUCAAACUUGCCAAAAGUAAUAUUCUGAAACAAGAUAUUAAUUCAUAAUAUUUCUUUUUUUCAUGGUGCAAAAGCUAACAUUUCUUAAAGCAUCAUUUUAAUAUAAAAUUAUAAUAUUUUCUCCGCUUAGAGACUCUACCAUCAAAUACGACACAAUAUAAUAUCUUUUUUUUUUUUUUUUGUAGUGCAAGUAUUAAUAUUUCGUAAAGCACCGUCUUAAUAUAAAAUUACUGUAUUGCAUUUGCUCUGAGGCCCUGCAAUCUAAUACGACGAAAUAUAAUUAAUUUGACAUAUAUACAUCAUAUUUGUGGUGUAUAUCUUAUACAAUAUAGACUUUUGUGACCCUUGGUUAAGUGUCCUAGUAUCGUUAGAUUCGGAGAUAAGCAAAAAGUGGCUAUUACAGGAAUAGGUAUAAAUUGAGGUAUAAGCGGGGAUUAAAUCAAUUUUAUGUUUGGAUGAAAAUUGGGUUAUUCCUGAGAAUAAAAAAAAUAACGUUUGGUUAGGUAAGGUGGAAUAAGAAUUAAAGUUGGUAGAUAUAAAUAAAAAAUAUUGAUAUUAACCCUCUCCUUAUAUUUGAAUUUGAAAUUUUAAAUUAUAUAUAUAUAUAUUUUAAAAUUUAAAAUUUUAACUUUUAAAUUUCAAAUUUUCAAAUUAAAGUUUAAAAUUUAAAAUAUCAAAAUUUAAAUUCAAAAUUUUAAAUUUUAAAUUUUAAAUUUUAAAUUUCAAACUUUAAAUUUUAAAAUAUAAAAUAUCAAAUUUUAAAAUUUGAAAAUAAAAAUAGGGGUGGGAACAAUUAAUAAAAUUAAUUUACUAUAAUAAAUUUAUAAAUUUGAUAAUAAUAAAUUUUUUAAUAAAUUUAUAAAUUUUUUAUUAUUAAUAAAUUAAUAAUUUUUUAAAAUUCUAUUUAAACUUAAAUUUAAUAAAAAUAAUAUUUUAUAAUAUUUAAAUAUAAUUUAUUAUAAAAUUUAAUAUUUAAAUAUAAUUUAUGAUAAUAUUUAAAUAUAAUAAUAUGUAUAAUAUAGUAACAAUUAAUAAUUUUAUAAUAAAAAUAAUAUAUUAUAAUAUAUAACAUAUUAUAUUUAUAUAAUUUAAUUUUAAUUUAAUUUAUAAUUUUAAUAAAGUUUGAAAUUAAACAUUGAAUAGCACUAUUCCAUCAAAAUGGUGGAAUAGUAAAUCCCUCACUAUUUUGGAACAGCCAAAAAUAGCAAAGUUUGACCGGAUAAAAUAUCGGCAAAAAAUUAUUUCGUUUGGUGGAAUACGCGAGAAUAAUUUUCGUUAUUCCUGCUUAUACCGCCAACUAAGUUUUUAUUUUGAUAGACCCUUGCCCUCAAAUCAUGUAACUCUAGAGAGGAGAGAAGAGAGAGAGAGAGAGAGAGAGAAUAAAUAGUGGCCUUUAUUGAGAGGUUCAUCUCAUACUUUUCUCCUUAUCUCAUCCAAGAAGUUGGAACUUGUCAAGCACAACAACUGUGUACACAUGGUAAUGUUAGGCAAAGCAACUCCAAUUCCCCCCCCCAACUAGCUGUCCCUUUCUCUUUCUUUUGCCAACCAUUGUACCAAUCAAACCAGUUAUUUAUUAACCAAAAUUCAUUUACUUAUAAUUAUAUUAUUACUAUUAUUAUUAUUAUUAUUAUUAUAUAUUAUUAGUAUUAUCAUCAUUUUGGAGUACAAAAGGGGGCCUACAAGUGAAUGUAGCACAUGAGUCUCCCAGUCAAUUUGGGUUAGCCUGACCCCUUUACAUCCAAGCAAGGAAGGUGGGAGGAAGAUAGGGCCAUAUGGUUUGUUCUUGUGGGGGAUAAACAUCCUCACUGAGGAGAGAUAUUGUUGCCUGCACCAGCUGCGGAUAAAACUUUAGUGGGGAGCUCUCGGACGGCGUCUCGUUAGGGAGUACAUCUGAUGUACUGUCACAUACUAGUUUUGUUUCCAUCUAAUGAUUCAUCGAGUAUUUUUAAUACUAAAACACGAAAAAAGAUUUUAAUCCUAGAGGCCGGGAAGGAUUAUAUCUUUUGGAUAGAGAUAAAAGUGACGCGUGGCGACUAAUUAGGACUCCCUAAUAAGGCGUCGUUGAAAAGCUUCCGACUAUUUUUUUUUUUUUUUUCCACGAGAUGCAUAUAUAUGCUCACUUCAUUUACCUCAUCUAAUAUUUGGUUAAUUUUCAACAUUUAAAAUCAAAAUCUAAUUUGACUGAGGCCCCAUUUCAUUACAUCAAAAUAUAUAUAUAUAUAUAUAUAUAAAUUAUGUAUUUUAGAAACCUACUGCUAAACAGUAGAACAAUAAUUUUGAUAUAUAGGCUUUUUGAAUGUCAUAAAGUUCGUCCAUUUUUCAGAAAAAGUUGGAAGGAAAACAUAUAUACAUAAAUGGGACUACAGAACUUAGCAAAUAGAACUGCUGUUUUUAUUCUUUACGAAAACAGACGAGAUAUUUUUCCAUAGCGUAGUUUGGUACUAACAUUUUGAUUUCUGAGCGAGGUGCGGCGCAUAAGAUGCGCUUAAACACUAGGUAUAGGGAACAAGUUCAUUUCAUUUAGGGGGAGUAUAGGGACCUCACAUGAGUCCAACCACUAGCUAGUGCAUGCAUUCCCUUUCAUAUUUUCCUUGUGUAGGUCUCUCAUGGAAGGGUGUUGGGUAGGGCUACAAAAACCAAAUUGGUAGCGUCACGGAGAAGAAGAGAACAUAUUAUAAAUUUAUAUAUAUAUACUAUAUAUUAUUAUAUAUGUAAUAUAUAUAUAUAUAUAUAUAUAUGUAUGUAUAUAUAUAUAUAUGUAAUAUAUAUAUAUAUAUAUAUAUAUAUAUAUAUAUGUAAUAUAUAUGUAUGUAUGUAUGUGACAUGAGUCUCCAUCAAUAACUUUGGACUAGUCAUUUCGGAUAAGGACCAAUAGUACUAGGGAAUCCCUUCUAAACUGGGCAACUUAUCUCACAUGAUUUUUAAUUUUGUUUUCUCCUUUUAUUUUUUGGUCCUCCUUUUGUUCCUAUCUUUUACAUUGAGAAGGACCACUAUUUAGUCUCAUGCCUCUAUUUAUAUCCAAACGUUAAUUUUUUAUCUGAGAAUUAUAAUUCUCGAUUAGCUAUAAUAACCGGGUAUAACUAUCUCCAUCAAUACCUCCAUUUUUUAUAUAUAACUAUCAACUAUUUUUCUUAUUCCAUAUUAUCUAUCCAAACGCUAUUUUUUUUUAUCCUAAGGAACAACCCAAUUUUUAUCCAAACGCUAUUUUUUUAUCUCCAUACUUAUACCUAUCCCUGUAAUAGCUAGUUCUUACUUAUAUCCGAACCAAACGCUUAGGGUAUCAAAGGUGUUAUUAUAAGUAUUUUUCUUACGUUCAAAAUAGUGAAGAGCCGAGUUGAGCCGAGUCAUGUUCGAGCCACAAUCAAGACCCCUAAGUACUGUGUCUAUACGUUUUAAGUGAAUUGAUUGUAUAUUUCUAAUAGCUCGAGUUUUUAGAAUUAAUGGUUAGUGUCAACGAUUCUACAUCGGUAGAUUCUCCAAUACGACCUUACAAUACGGACAUGAAAACUUUCAGAUCAGAACAAAACUUUGAGAUGUUUCGUAGCGAAGUUGUUCUCUGACGAGGGUUCAGUUGAGUGGUUUUGCUGCAAUUCAUGAGAUGAGAAUCAUGCUAUCUAUAUGAGCUAAUGUUGGAUUUAAUGCUUUUAAACUUAAUUUGUACGCGGACAAAGUAUUUUUCGGAAUAUCAUUAUCCAAAACUAGUCCAAUAAAUUAAAACUUGUUUGAUGGAUCAUAAGAGCAUAUAAAAACAACCCCAACUCUCUCUUAUUUGUCUCUUAUUUAUAUGCGUUGCAUUUCAAUUGGUGCGAUUAACUUACAAAUCAAAAUGUAGAAAAUAAUUUCUAUGUUGGAGCUAUUUCAUUGUCACAAAUUAAGAGCAAAUGGAGAUAACCAUAUAUAACAAAUAACCACCCACAAUAAGGAGGAAUUAUUAAUUGCAUAGGUUUGAAAUAUAAAUAACACGAAAAUAAUAUAAUUUUUUUUUACCGUUCGAAAUGUCAAGAAUAUCAGCUCCAUAUUGUGGGUGGUUAUUUGUUAUAUAUGAUAGGAUAGCGAGUAUAACUUUCAUUAUUCCAGCUUUAUCCUCGAAAUAAAUGGUCCAAUAUGAAUUGUGUUUCAUAACUUUUCAAAAUUAGUUUCUAGUNUAAUUUUUUUUUACCGUUCGAAAUGUCAAGAAUAUCAGCUCCAUAUUCAAUAGAGCCCUAACUCAACAUUAAUCUCACAUUAAAUAAAAAUAAGAAUUUCAAGUUAUAUACAACAUAUAAAUAUUUUUCUAACCAUUAAGUUAUAUAUAAGAAUUUUACUCUCCAGUGAUUAAAAAAAGUAAAAUAUUUUUCUAUUAUUAGUAUUUUUCCUACCAACAGGCGACAACAAAAAGCUUAAAAAACCGAAGUACUCGCAAUUAGGGAAACGCAUAUAAUUACACGUUUAACAAAAAUCUUUUCAAGAUAAAAUAUUUUUACCAACUGUACGUGCAGUUCAACUGAUAUCGCCGCUUCUUCUUAACAACAAUAAAUAAGUAGAUUUUUUUUUUUUUUUUCAUACCAAAUUCUACGGCACAGUCAAGGCAAAGAUCAUGUUAGCUACUUCCCCACUAACUAUUUCAACCACUGCUAAAGAAACCAAAGAAACCAAAGAAACCAAUCCACUAAUCCAUCACUAUGUUUACAUCCUCUCUCUCUCUCUCUCUCUCUCUCUCUCUCUCUCUCAAUCUCAAUCUCUUAAUUAAUGUUUCAAAAGAAUAAAUAAAAAUAUCAAGUAUGGUCAAUUUGUUCAUUUACUUUUCCAGAUUCUGGAGUGGGUGAGAUUUAGAUGAAACUCCAACCCCCGAAUCUUCAAGCAAUUAAUAAUAAAGUUGGCUUCUUUUUUCUUUUUUCUUUUUUCUUUUUUUCUUUUUUUUUUUUUUUCUUUGAGCUUUUAACAUGCAUGAAACUCUUUUUGCAACUCCUUGCCGUGUUCAAAUAUGAUGCUUAAAGAAAAAGAGGCCGCGUAUUUUCAAACUUUACGGCUCUUAGGACAUUUGUAUUUCGAGUAGUAUUAGCUGGACCUUGUCCGCCACAUCAGCCGUGGACCGCAUAGUAAAAUUAAUUUUUAACUAGUGAAGUUAUCCGCGCAUUGCAGCGGACUAAUGCUAUAGAAGAUAAAGAUCGACAAAUUUAAAAUUUUAAAAUUUUUUGACUUGUCGUGAGAUGUCAAUAGAUACAAAUAGAAAAUAUAAAAUAGAUAUGUAUAAAUGUAGUAAAAUUUACAACAAUAAAUAAAUUAUAUAUAAUAAUAAUGAAAGAAACGGUAAUAAAGUUAUUACUCUAUAUGCAUCUUAAUUGUCCUGUCAAGAUCGGAGAGGUAAUUCUUGUUCUCCGCGUCGCCUCUGCCGCUAUUGUCGGCGUCGAGCUUUUCUUCGAUCAUGGCCAUGUCGAUGCCCUACGGAGCACCCCCCACACCCACUGCUUCUUCCUCAGAAUUCUAAUUUCAAUCCUCACAUAAUUUAAAAAGAUUAAAAAAUUAAAAAAAUAUAAAAAUUGAAUCAUUCUUGUACAUCAAAAAAAAAGAAGAAGAAGAAAAUGUGAUAAAAAGAGUAUGAAGAGAUUUUAUUUAUUAUUUUUUUUUAAAAGUAAUUUAUUUAGAUGAAAAUGAAUCAUGUGAAUAUAUUAAUUAGAAAGUGGGCAGUCCGAGAUGAGGUGGGAAGGCAAAGUAUCAGGGAAUGAGAAGAGGGGUGAAAAAAAAAUUACCACGUCGCAAACACCAUAAAAAAUAAUGUAUAGAAACUAUAAAUAUAGAUAUAGAUAUAGAUAUAGAUAUAGAUUCUAGAUAGCGCGAGAUGAUGUUGAUGCAUCUGAAUUGACUAAUUAUACAUAAACUUAUCGAAUUUGAUCAUUUUUCAUUGUCUGCAUUAAUUAAUUUGAUUAAAUGUUAGCAUCACUGCGCUUCACCAAAAGGCUAAGACUAUGUUCGAUAAUAAAAAGAAAAUACGUUCUGAUUCUAAAAUCUUACGAAGAAAUUAAGAAAACGUCUUAGUAAUUAUACAGCUCACGACUAACUUUAAUGCACAGGGUCCCCACAAUAAUUUUACACAUAUUUUGUCACAUCCCACGUUCUUAAUUUUCAUAAAUAAAAUAAUAAUAAUAAACUGGUGGUUAGAGCCUCAAACUGGAGGAAUUCUACACUGUCACACAUGCACCACGUCAUCAAUAACAAGCCAAUCACAUUCCUUCUUUUAAACAAAAGUACAAUAAAAAUACUUUUUUACAAUCAUGAUGGGACAUAUAUUCUUAAAAGGAUUAAUUUGAUUGGUUUGUUACGCCACAUCACUAAUAUACCCGUUGCAUUCUAGAAUUUUUCGCACUGGGGACCAAAAGGAGUUUAUUCUUGCCUUGGACUAAAGAUGAACGGGUAUAUUAGUGAUGUGGCGUAACAAACCAAUCAAAUUAAUCCUUUUAAAAAUAUAUGUCCCAUCAUGAUUGUAAAAAAGUAUUUUUAUUGUACUUUUGUUUAAAAGAAGGAAUGUGAUUGGCUUGUUAUUGAUGACGUGGUGCAUGUGUGACAGUGUAGAAUUCCUCCCCCCGUGCACACGGUCCAUGGAACUUGCCACGUGGGAGUGGGACCCACAGUCACUAUCUCAUUAAAUUAAGGGAAAACUUCAAAAACCCCCGUAGUUUCGUAGUUUCUCACUUUGCCGCCCCGUGGUUUAAAAUGUAUCAAAUUGUCCCCAUGUGGUUUCGUUUUUAUCUUUUCGGUAGCUUUUUCGUUAAUAUUUCAUUAAAUUAUAUACAAAAAAAACUUCAGAUAUCCAUCUAGAUUUAUCAAAUAUUCACUUUAGUAUCCUUUAAUUUUAACUUUAUCACUGAUUUAAGAAAAAACAAAUAAUAAAAUUGAUAAGAAAAAGAGAAAAAAGAAACCACAUGGGGGCAAAUUGAUAUAUUUUAAACCACAUAGGGCAAAGUGAGAAACUACGAAACCACAGGAUUUUUUUGAAGUUUUUCCUUAAAUUAAUCCCAUUGGAUAGUGGUGUGUGUACGGACAAUUUAAAAAAAAGGGGUUAGAUUUCAAAUAUCACCUCUGUGAUUUCACACUUUCUCAUUUUAGUACUCUAUAUUUUAAAGUGUAUCAAGUUAGUGUGCUGUGGUUUUAUUUUUAUCUUUUCGUCAGUUUUUUUAUUAAUAUUUUGUUAAAUUAUGUAUAAAAAAUUUCAGAUACUCUAUCUAAAUUUAUUAAAUAUUCACUUUAGUACCCUUUAGUUUUAAUUUUGUCACUGAUUUAAAAAAAAAAAUUAGUAGAAUCGAUAAUGAAAAUAUAAAAAUAAAACCAAUGGUACUAAAUUGAUACACUUAAAAUAUAGGGUAUUAAAGUAAAAAAGUAUAAAACCACGGGAUGGUAUUUGAAGUUUUUUUUUUAAAAAAAAAUGCCACUCACACCAACCUUUCUCUCUCUCUCUCUCUCUCUCCUCUCUCUAGAGAAUUUGUUGUAUAUACUGAAUAAUGGUUGAUAUUUUUAUUCAUUACUUUAAAUAUUGAAAAUUCCAUCUCUCGCUAGCGUGUUUACUAUUAGGGCUUUUUGAAUUUUUAGCAUUUUUGAGAAAUAUAUAUCAAGUGAUCUUUCUCGAAAAAUAAAAAAAAACUUCAGUGGUGAGCUUUCCAAUAAUGCCCCGUUAAGAAGACCCAAUUCGUCGUCAUGUGUUACUUUUAUAUCUAACCAAGAAUUAUAACCCUUUUUUCUAUGAUUUAUUUUUUUGUUAGAUUUUUAGUAUUGAAAAAAACACAAAACGAGUAGUUGGAUGGAGGCAAAACAAACACAUAGUAGUAGAUUGGAAGCCCUACAACGAGACCUCGUUAGGGAGCUCCCACUGAAGUUUUAUCCUGUCUCGAGAUAGUUCUUAAUGUGGGGUCAAGAAGAUAAUUCAAAGAAAGAAAGAAAGAAAGAAACUCUACUAAUUGUAUUAAUAUAUGUACCAGUCGUAUAAGCACAGUAUUCUAUAUAUGCACAUAAAAUUAUAUUUAACAAUAGAUAUUUCAAAAUCAUAACCUACUAAAGUAAAUGUGAUUUACAAUGUCUAAAAUGUCUAUAUAUAAAAAAUAAAUAAAAAUAACCAUUACGUUGGAUGGGUAAAAAAAAAUCAGCAUCAUAUAUAUAUAUAUUAUAUAUAUAUUAUAUAUAUAUAUAUAUAUAUAUAUAAUAUAAUAUAUAGAACUAGCUGGAAUACUAUUAAUAGCGACAAACCUAUUGUGCUAUUGAUUUUUAGUUCUUAGAUUAAGAAAUGGAUGGUUAGGAUGAUGUGGGCCUCUAGGGUUAAGUGAGUAGUUGGUUGAAUAGUAUAAUCUAACGGGUAAAAAUAAUCAGAGGGUUAAUCUAACGGUGGAGAAACUCGAUAGCACCAAAAUCCUUAGUGCUAUCGAUAGUACCCCAGCUGGACUCAUAUAUAUUAUAUAUAUAUUAUAUAUAUAUAUAUAUAUAGAGAGAGAGAGAGGAGGAGAGAGAGAGAGAGUCCGGCUACUAACUUUUAUGAGUAUUGGCUUCCUUAUACUCAUAAGCUUUCGGCCUUAGAUUUAUUCCACUGAUCAUUUCCAUCCGUUAGAUCAUACUAUUCAACAAACUACCCACUCAACCCUAGGGACUACUAUCAUUUUAAGUGGGGACUACCAUCAUUCUAACCACACAUCCCAUCAAUCAACGGUUAAAAAUUUAUGAGUACAAGGGGCCUAUACUCAUAAGAGUAUAGUAGCCCCAGCCUAUAUUAUAUAUAUAUAUAUAUAUUAUAUAUAUAUAUAUAUAUAGGAAGAGAGAGAGAGUCCAGCUGGAAUGCUAUUGAUAGCACGAAGCAUUUGGUACUAUCAAGUUUUCUGCGUUUAGAUUUACCUCCUUUAUCAUUUUCAUCCGUUCGAUUAUACUAUUCAACUAAUCACACACUCAACCCUAGAGGGCCCACAUCAUCCUAACUGCACAUCUUUUAAACUAAUGGUAGAAAACUUAAUAGUAUCAAGUCAUUGGUGCUAUUAAUAAUAAUCCAGCCUAGUUCUAUAUAUAUAUAUAUAUAUAUUAUAUAUACACGCACAUUCUUUAAACUAAUGGUAGAAAACUUAAUAGCAUCAAAGUCAUUAUAUAUAUAUAUAUAUAUUAUAAUAUAUACACGCACAUCUUUUAAACUAAUGUAGAAAACUUAAUAGCAUUAAUAUCAUGGUGCUAUUAAUAGAUUCCAGCCGUAAGUGUACUAUAGUAUAUAUUAUUAGUAUAGUAAUAUAGGUGAUAUAUUAAGGUUACGAGAGAGAGAGAGAGGGAGAGAGAGACGAGAGAGAGAGCUAGAGAGAGAGAGAGAGAGAGAGAGAGAGUCCGGCUGGAAUACUAUUGAUAGCACGAAGUAUUUGGUGCUAUCAAGUUUUCUACUAUUAGAUUUACCUCUGUGAUCAUUUUCAUCCAUUCGAUUAUACUAUUCAACCAACCACCCACUCAACCCUAGGGGACCCACAUCAUCCUAACCGCACAUCUUUUAAUUUAAAAACAGAAAACCUAAUAGCACCAAGUCAUUGGUGCUAUUAAUAGUAUUCCAGCUCUCUCUCUCUCUCUCUCUCUCUCUCUCUAGAGAACUUGUUGUAUACACUGAAUAAUACACUAUCUAAUAUAAUUGGUGGAUAUUUUUAUUCAUUACUUUAAAUAUUGAUAAUUCGAUCUCUCGCUAGCGUGUUUACUAUUAGGGCUUUUUGAAUUUUUAGCAUUUUUGAGAAAUAUAUAUCAAGUGAUCUGUCUCCAAAAACAAACAAAGCUUCAGUGGUAAGCUUUCCAAUAAUGCCCGGUUAAGAAGGCCCAGUUCGUCGCCACGUGUUACUUUUAUAUCUAACCAAGAAUUAUAAUCCUUUUCUCUAUAAUUUAUUUUUUUGUUAGAUUUUUAGUAUUAAUAAAAAAAACCAAACGAGUAGUUGGAUGGAGGCAAAACAAACACAUAGUAGUAGAUUGGAGGCCCUACAACGAGACGUCUCCCACUGAAGUUUUAUCCAGUCUCGGGAUAGUUCUUGAUGUGGGGUCAAGAAGAUAAUUCAAAGAAAGAAAGAAAGAAAGAAAGAAACUCUACUAGUUGUAUUAAUAUCUGUACCAGUCGUAUAAGCACAGUAUUCUAUAUAUGCACAUAAACUUAUAUUUAACAAUAGAUAUUUCAACCGAUCGUCCCUAGAGCAAGUGGCAAAAGGCUUGGUGGUUGGUACCCGAGACCCAAGUUCGAACCCUAGUUGAUUUACAUUUCUAGCUAAGUUUAUUUCUAAAUGAAAUAAACGAAGCGGAUAGCGUGCUACCUAUCUCUCAAAAAAAAAAAAACAAUAGAUAUUUCAAAAUCAUAACCUACUAAAGUAAAUGUGAUUUACAAUGUCUAAAAUGUCUAUAUAUAAAAAAUAAAUAGAAAUAACCAUUACUUGAUGGGUAAAAAAAAUCAGCAUCAUAUAUAUAUAUAUAUAUAUAUAUAUAUAGAACUAGACUGGAAUACUAUCAAUAGCACCAAGCUAUUGGUGCUAUUGAUUUUUUAGUCCUUAGAUUGAGAAAUGGAUGGUCAGGAAGAUGUGGGCCCCCUAGAGUUAAGUGAGUAGUUGGUUGAAUAGUAUAAUCUAACGGGUAAAAAUAAUCAGAGGGUUAAAUCUAACGGUGGAAAACUAGAUAGCACCAAAUCCUUAGUGCUAUCGAUAGUACCCCAGCCGGACUCAUAUAUAUAUAUAUAUACAAGCUGGAAUACUAUUAAUAGUAAAACGCUCUUUUUGCUAUCAAGUUUUUAACCAUUGGAUGAAAAAUUGUAGGGUCAGGAUGAUAUUAGUCGGUUAGAGUUGAGUGGUCCCCCUAGGGUUGAGUGGUCCUCACUGGGUUAUAGUAUUUAAUCCAAUGGUUAGAAAUAAUGAAAAGAGUUGAUCCAAAGGCUAAAAAACUGGUAG